AGGAAUUGUAGGUGACCACAUCAGGCUCUACACCUCUUUGAACCAUUACAUUGAAUGUAUUUUGAGCCUCUGAAACCAUUCCAUCCUUACAAAGAGCAUCGAUCAAUACAUUGAAGGUAUAAACAUUUGGUAAUAUGUUUUGCUCCACCAUUUCAUUCAUCAAGGCCAAAGCUUGGUUCUUUUGGCCUAAUUUGCAAACACCAUGAAUUAAACUAUUGUAAGUGAUGACAUUAGGUGAAAUGCCCUUAUUCCUCAUUUGAGAGAAGAGCUCUAAAGCCUCACUAACUAGCUCAUCCUUGCAAAGAGCGUCAAUGAUUGCAUUGUAUGUCACAACAUUUGGCUCACAACCUCUAUCAGCCAUUCCCUUUAGUAGCCCAAUAGCCACAUUUGUUUUCCCAAAUUUACACAUUCCGUUUACUAUCACAUUGAAAGUACGAACAUCAGGUUGAUAACCACGUGCAACCAUAUAAUCGAAAAAUUCCACCGCUUUAUCGAUUUUACGCUCCAUACAAAGCCCAUUAAUUAAGGUAUUAAAUGUCACAGUGGUAGGCUCCAAUCCGAAUUUGAGCAUCUUACCAAAAACAGAGAAGCCAAAAUCCACAAGGUGCAAGUGGCAGAAACAAUUAAUUAAGAUGCUAAGAGAAUAAACAUCGUGUGAGAUUCCUAGCAAUUCAAUUGUUUUGGGCAUGGAAAAGACAGUGUGAUAUUGUUUCAUUUUCACAAGGGCAGAUAAGAAUCUACUAAAUUGAGCCCUAGAAGGAAGAGGAUGCUUAUGAAUUACAUGAUUGAAGGAAGCAAUGGCAUCAUGAAGGUGGGUAAAAGAAGCAGAUUUGAAGUUAUUUGUCAAGAAGCGUGCAUCUUCAAGUGUGGAAGUAGAAGAAUGGCAAUAAUUGGUAAAUAAGAAUAGGAAUGGAGAUUGAAUGGUACCAAUUGCCCCUUGUAGCUGAAGAUGGAAGCUCCUGCUCUUCCUCCUCGAAGGCAUCUUCAUCAUCAUGGAUCUCUUGUCAGUUGUUUUUAGGGAUGGAUCGGAGAUUGGGAAUGAGGAAAGGAAAUAGAGAAUCGGAAAAGGAAGGCUCUCUGCCAGCUGGUAAUGUGGUAAGGAUAAUACCUCGUGUACGUUAAAUCAUAUUAUAAUCAAACUAUUUUCUACACCUUCAUUUUGAGAUUUCUAAUAGAUACUCAAGUAUUAUAGGGGUUGUCCACAAUCAACCAUCGGGUGUUUAUUUAUUUUACAAAUUGAUAUCGAUAUUAUACCCAUCAAGAAUGUCAGGAUACUUUCACUAAAAAUUAUUCUUGAUAUUAAUUACACUAUAUUUUAUAUAUAUAAAGUAAAACCAAACUUUUUUCAUAUUGUUUAAAUGAAAGUAAAAUAAAGAUUUUUUAUUGUUUUUAUAGCAAAUCCUUUUAUUAUUGAGAAAAAACUUAAAUUUGAUUCAAAAUUCUAGACUAUCUCUUGCUAGCUGUAUUAGAGUUGUUUAUUUCAUUUUUUUAAUUUCAUAAAUGAUUUUGCUUUUUUAAAAAAAUUAUUAGUUUUUUCCUUUUAUAAAUUAAAUGUAUAAUUUUUUUUCUCAGUAGAAAAGUUAAAUUUUUAUUUUUUUUUAUUUUUUAUUUUGCAAUAUAUAGACAAACAAUCCUAUUUAAUGUAUAUGUUUAAUAAAGGAAUAGCUUAGUUACAUUGAAAAGUGAUAUCUUAAGCAUUAAUUAUACAGUACAAAUUACGUAAUGAUUUUGUGAAUCAUGCUGUAAGCGAAUAUAUAUAUAUAUAUAUGAGUGCAAUUGUGUAGAAAGUGAAUUAAGAAAUUAAUUUGCUUAUUGGUAAAUUGAUAUUUUUAAAUAGGCUUAUGAGCAUUUAAUUUUUAUAUUUUGUCAAAAUUGACCAUUUAAUUUUUUAAUUCUGUCAUUUGGUUAAAAUAAACUUUUAUAUUAUUUAUUUUUUAAUUUUAUAUAUAUAAUUUAAUUUUUUAAAUUAAAGCUAAAAAUAUAUUUACUAAUAUUUUAUUCGAUAAGAAUAUGAAAGAGUUUGAAUUUAUAAAAUUCAAAAUGUUUUAAUUGAGUGAUUUGAAAAUAGAGAUUGAAUAAUUAAUUUUGAUAAAAUAUAAGGAUUUAUUAAUAAUUUAAAUAUAUAAAAAAGAAUUAUUUAAAACUCUCUAAAGUUUCAUAUGAUAACCCCUUACAAGUUUCAGUAGUUCAUCAAACUUGUCAGUAGUGUAAAUAAGUUCGAUUGGCCAUUAAUUUUGGAGUCGAAAUCACUAUCCUGAAACUGUUUAAUCAGUUCUUGUAAUGCUGGAAACUUCAGAUUCUCUACUGAGAUUUAAUAUUUUUUGCUCUCGUCACCCACGUAAAUGGCUACAUAACCUUUUCGAAUUUAUGGGAUUUUAACUUUCAAAUCAGUCGAAUUGGAGAAUAAUUUAUAGGAAAAAGAUUAAGUAAUUGUAUAAUGUUAAUCUAAAAUUUUAGGAAGAAUUUAUUUUCUUGCUAAAAACUCUCUACAAUGAUAUUAUUAUCAAAAUUUUCUAAGUUAAAGGAAAGGUUUGAGUGUGAAGAACUCGAAAGGAAAUUAUAUAGGAGAGAAGAGUAAUUGAGAUUUAAUUUAUAUAUAUGGAUAAGGAGUGGAUUUUUAUGAUAAAAUUUAGAUUUUUAGCAUUAGCUAAAAUUUUUUAGCUGGAUUAAUUUAUUAAUUGGUUUAAAAAAAGUUGCAAAUUAAAACAGUGAAGAAGAAUCUUUAUUAAUUAUCGAAUUAUUUUCAUUUUAAUUUAUUAAUGGUAAUUGCUAAAUAUGGUAAUUAAGUGAUGCUUCAGUUUAUAAUUUUGAGAAUAAAUAAAAUUUCUUUGAUUUUAUGAUUUUAAGUUUCUUAAGAUGGUAGAAUUAGUUUAUAGGUCAGUAGAUUUUUUGUAAGGAGUUUGAAAUGGUUAUAAUAAAAAAAUUAAAUAUUUUAUUUUUUUUAUAUCAACACGAACAUUGUUAAAAAUAACAAAAUUAUUAAAAUUAUUGAAUAAAUUAAUAAAAAUUAAUAAGAUUAGCUAAAAUUAAUCAUGAGUGAAAAUAUUGAAUAACAUAAAAAUUUUGAUUUUUUCUUUUGUUAUUUAAUUUUUUUUAAAGAAAUGAAGAUAACUAUUUUUUAACAAAAGUGGGGCCAUUGAAACUAGAAUUAGCUGCUUCGAUUCAAUUUUUCUUUUCCUUUUUUGUAAAUGUUAUGUAGAUUCCCUUCAUUUUUUUUUUCUUACUAGAAUUUAUUUUCUUUUUGUAGUUUAUUAACUAUCAUACAUUACAAAAUAAUGUUUAAUGGAAAAUUUUAAUUAUAGUUUUAUUAAUAAUGAUGUUUAUAUUAAUUUUAUAUUAUUUAAUUUUAUAUAAUAAGAUAAAUAAUAGAAAAAUAAAAAUAAAAAUACCUUAUAUAUAUAUAUAUAUAUAUUUAUUUAUUGAAAGGUUAAUUUAUGUAAGAGUUUUUUUAUAAUAAAGUUAUAUAUUUAAUUUAAUUAAAAUUAUAUUUUUUUAAAAUAGAAUUUAUAUUUAAAUAAAAAAAAUUCUAACCGAUUAAAUUAAAUAUUUUAUUUUUAAUCAAUUAAAAUAAAGAGUUACUUAUAAUUAUUAAAUUUAACCACCUUUUAUAUUGAAAAUUUCAUUAUUUCCCUUUACUUUCCAUUUAUAUAAAUAUAUAUGUGUAUAUUAUUAAAAAUCAAAUAAUCACAGAUAAAAAAAAUAAGCGAUACACAAAUUUAAUGUGAUUAAUCAAUUUGGCAAGAUCAUGACGAUUAUUUUUUUUUUUAUUUUUCUAUGAAUUUUUGAAUAUAAUACACUAGAAAAAUAUUAUAUUUUUAUAUGUCUAAGAAAAUAUAAAAAAGAUAUAAUAGUUUUAAAAAAUUUACGAUCAUGGAGUAUAAUGUAUAUUUUAUAAUAUAUUAUUAGUUUCCAUAUCUCAACAUAUAUAUAUUUUAUAAAAUAAAAUUUAUAAUAAAUAGAAAAUAAUUUUAACCAAAUAAAUUAAAUAUUUUAGAGAAUAAUUUUUUUUUCAAUAAAUCAAAAUAAAUAGUUAAUUUUACUUUAUGUAUAUAUAUAAUAAGUUUUAGUUUAAAACUAAUAAAUUUAAAACUAAAUAAUUUUAAUUAAAUAAGUAUAUAUAAAAAUUAAUUCACAAACUUGUAAAAACCAAAUUUUUAAAUAUUAACGAUCCCGAUGUCUGCAAGUUUUAAAAGUGUAAUUAAACUAUAUAAAGUUAAAUUUUAAAAAACUAAGAUUGACUUGUGAAAGUAUAUGUAGAGUUUAAACUUAUUUCUCUUAUGAUAUUAAUCUCAACCUAUCACGAGAACACCUAUCUGAUUUGGAGUGAUACACUCUGCUAAUUUCUUCUGGUGCUUCACAUUUCUUGAUUAGUGAUCAUUAAUCUAAUUAAUAUUAAGUAAUCAUAUAGAUUUUACACACUAAUAUUUAAAAAUGUCUCUUUUCUUCUGAAUCCAAGGACCAUACUUACAGAUUCAAGCUCCGGAUUCAAGGCUCUUCUUCUCCAAUACUCUGCAUCGUCAACCAUCAAUAAAAAUAGCGCAGCCAGAAGCUUGACUGCAUUUGCAGUGAAUCUUCGCUCAGCUGAAGACUCUUGAGACUUUGUUCUUCUUCACUGUGUCAUUUUGAGACAAGAAUCAUUUUGUAAGCCAAUUACAAGAAAAGCUAUUUUUGAGGCAUAACUGUACUAAAUAAUCUGCAACUAAAUUUGCUUUUUUGUAAAUUUUAUCCCUGUACUUUAUUGAAAUAUAAGAUUUGGUCCUUAUAUUUUUAAAUUCUACUAUUAAGUCCCUAAAAAUUUUGACAGAAAAAUCAACAAUUCAGUCCCUACCAUCAAAACAAGAGUUAACUUUCUCUUAAAACUAUUAAAAAAUGACCAUAAUGCCUUCUAGUAUAUAUUUUUAUAUUAAAAUAUUAAUUUUUAAUGAUGAUUAGGAUGCUGACGUGAUAUUUCUGUUAAAUCUAACAUCAAAUUUACUGGUAGGUUAUAAAUAAAUUUAGAUAGUUAGUUUAGAGUAUAUUAGUUAAUUUUUAUAAUUUAGAGUAUAUCUGUUAAAAUGCGAAUAGUUCAAAGUUUUUUUUGCCACCAUCCCUUUUGCAAAUUGAUCUUGAAUACUUAUUAUAUAUAAUCUUAUUCAUAAAUAGUUAUAAUAUGUAAGGAUUAAUUUGUAAAAUUAUAGAAAUUAUUUGUCAAUAAUUAAUGUUGGAAAGAAUCCUCUGCCAUGAUUGUAAAUCAAUCAGUGAUCCUCUGUCAUGAUUGUAAAUCAAUCAGUGAUCAAAUCUUACCAUGUUUAGCAUAGCACAAUUCUAGGACAUAAUUGAGGGCACAAUCAAAGGUCUAAUUGUUCAUAUUAUGUACUAUAUAAACUCUGUAACUUACUACACAAGAGGUAAGAAAAUAAAAACAGUUUUCUUCCUAUAAUCUCAAGAUGGUAUCAGAGCGGGUUUGGGUCUAAAAAUAUAGUCAUCCUGCAAUAAUCCUUUACCAGAUACCUUUCCCAACUUCUUUCUCUCACCAAAACAACAAUGGCCGACCUUCCCAGCCCGGUUGACCAAUCCCAGGCAAUAAUUGAUCCAAUAGCAGACCUGUCACAAAAACUAUUCCAGUUAAUUCAGAAUAGCCAAGAUGGAAAUCAGAAAUCAGUGAACCAAUUCACUCUUGAUUCAGCACAGCCACCAUCCGACAUAAAAUUGAAUGAUUCCAAUUAUGUUGUAUGGGCAAAGAUGAUGGAGAUGUUUAUCACGGCGCUACAAGAAGCCGCGAAAGGAGGAGGCACAUGUGUCCCUUAUGAUCGAGAAGGAGGUAUUUUAGGGUUAGAAAGGAGGGCAAAUGACCUUUCUACCCCUGUCUCUUUAAAUAAAUCUAAAUGUGCCUCUGCUUGUUUUAAUUCUUGUAAAAUUAAAUCCCUGGUCUCGGAUGUUUUAGAUAAGUUUGGUUGUAAUCCCAAAACUGAAUCGUUAGCCCCUAAUUCUAUCGGUCAUGCUAACAAGGUACAAAAUACUAAUGGGUGGAUAUUUGAUUCAGGAGCCACAGAUACUAUGACUAAUGAUUCUUCAGAUUUUGUUGUGUCAGCCCCACCCUCAAAAUCCAAUAUUCUAAACGCUACCGGUGGCUCCUUCCCGGUCAUCAGUGGUGGUACCGUUUCUAUAACCCCCACUUUAAAUGUCUCCAACAGCCUCUAUAUACCUUCCUUAUCUUGCAAAUUACUCUCUGUCAGUCAGAUCACCAAACAGUUAAAUUGCAGAGUACUCAUGUAUCCUCAUUUUUGUGUUUUGCAGGAUAUUCAUACGGGCACGGUACUGGGCCGUGGUACUGAGAAAGAUGGACUAUACUAUGUGGAGGAGGUCUCAAAUACUGGGUCAGCUCAUUUAGCUCAAGGGUCCUCAACCCGACAGUUAUGGUUCUGGCACCGGCGCUACGGCCAUCCCUCAAGUGAUUAUCUUCGUACUUUGUUUCAUGAGUUUAAAUCCAUUGACAUUUCAGUUUGUACUUCAUGCGUGCUUGCUAAGAGUCAUAAGAGUACUUAUCAUAUAUCCACAAAUAAAUCUGAUACUCCCUUCUCAAUAAUACACUCUGAUGUAUGGGGGCCUGCCCCGGAAACUGUCUCCCUUGAUUAUAGAUACUUUGUGACUUUUAUUGGUGAUUGCACUCGUGUUACUUGGGUUUACCUGUUAAAACAAAAAAGUGAAGUGGCUGAGACAUUCUGUGAUUUUUUCCGCAUGAUUAAAACCCAAUUUUACAGGACCAUUCAAGUCCUCCGAUCUGACAAUGGGGGGGAAUUUGUCAAUAACCAUCUCCAAACCUUUUUCUGGGAUAAUGGGAUCCUUCACCAAACUACUUGUCCUUAUACACCACAGCAAAAUGGGGUUGCUGAAAGGAAAAAUCGACAUAGCCUUGAGACUGCCAGAGCCCUAUUGUUUGAAGCCCAAGUUCCUCCUAAGUUUUGGUCUGAAGCAGUUGCCACAUCCAUUUACCUCAUCAAUCGACUUCCGUCUCGCGUCCUUAAUUUCCAAUCUCCCUUGCAUACCUUGUCCUCUCAUCACACCAUCCCUUCCCAUCUCAACCUUCCACCUAAAAUCUUUGGCUGCACAGUUUAUGUUCACAUUCCUAAAACACACCGCACUAAACUUGAUCUAUGUGCUCUUAAGUGUGUUUUCUUUGGUUAUGGUGUCCAUAAAAAGGGCUAUCGGUGUUUUGACCCAAUCUCUAAACGGCUCUUCACUACCAUGGACUGCACUUUUCUGGAAGAGGAAUAUUUUUUUCCCUCGCCAACUAGCAGUGAGGGGGAGACAACGGCACAAUCACCACCACUGCCAAAUUGGCUUAGUCAAGAGGGGCCAUAACUUGAUCAUUCUUCUCUUCCUGAGUCUAUACCAGAACUGGGAGACACCAGUCAUUCUUCCCUUCCUGAGUCUACACCAGAACUGGGAGACACUAACCAUCUAGUACAGUCCUUGGAAUCAACAUCACAACCAGAACCUGGCACCGUAGAAUAUCCUGAGGAACACACAACUGAGGUAUGUGAAUCUGAACUUUCUCCUGUUCCUAAUAACCUCACCACUGAACCCAUUUCCCUUGAGGUUCUUGAAACAGGCCAAUAUGUUCUACCCCCUCGGAAUAAUAGAGGAAUUCCACCCAGGAGAUAUGAUCCAGAAUUCGAGGCAGCCAGGUCCAGAUACACUGGCAAACGUUACCAGAGGAGAAAGACUAUCACCUCAGUUGGUCAACUACAGAAAAACAUUUGCUCAGAAUGGAUACCAAAGGAUGCCACAGAGGCCCAAAAGGACAAAAGAUGGGUUGAGGCAAUGGAGAUCGAGAUGGAUGCCCUGGAGAAAAACAAGACCUGGGAAAAAUGCUGGCUACCCAAGGGAAAACAACCAGUGGGAUGCAAAUGGGUGUUUACCAUAAAGUAUAAGUCAGACGGAACGGUGGACAGAUAUAAAGCUAGACUUGUAGCAAAAGGAUAUACUCAGACUUAUGGAGUUGACUAUUCUGAAACAUUCUCUCCAGUAGCAAAAAUUGACACAAUACGGGUCCUAUUCUCUCUAGCUGCAAACCUAGACUGGCCACUUCACCAAUUUGAUGUGAAAAAUGCUUUCUUGCAUGGUGAUCUAGAAGAGGAAGUAUACAUGGAUGCUCCACCAGGGUUCAUGAGUGGAUAUAGAAGGGGAGAAGUGUGUUGAUUGAGGCGAGCCUUGUAUGGGUUGAAACAGUCACCCAGAGUAUGGUUUGGGAGAUUUACUCAAGUAAUGAAGAAAAAUGGAUAUCGGCAGAGUAACUCCGAUCACACUCUAUUCUUGAAGAGGCAAGGAAGGAAGAUCACGUGUUUGAUUAUAUACGUGGAUGACAUGAUUAUAACUGGAGACGAUGUGGACGAAACCAAACAACUGAGGGACAACUUAUUCCAAGAAUUUGAGAUGAAAGACCUAGGGAUUCUAAAAUAUUUUCUUGGAAUCAAAGUUCUCAGAUCAGACCAGGGAAUUUUGAUAUCACAGAGAAAGUACAUUCUUGAUCUGUUAAUUGAAACAGGAAUGAUAGAUUGCAAACCAGUCGAUACUCCGGUAAUGGUCAAUCAUGAGUUAAGUAAGGACUCAAAAGAAGGACCCACAGACAGGGGGAGGUACCAGAGACUGGUAGGAAAACUGAUUUAUUUAUCACACACCAGAUCAGACGUGGCAUAUGCUGUGAGUUUGGUAAGUUAGUUCAUGCAUGAUCCAAAACAAGACAAUAUGGAGGCAGCAUUGAGAAUCGUUUGAUAUCUGAAAGGAACAGCUGGGAUGGGCAUGUUGUUCAAAAAGAAUGGUCAUUUCAAUAUCAGUGGAUAUACGGACGCAAGUUGGGCAGGAGAUCUCUCCGACAGACGAUCUACUUCAGGAUACUUUACCUUUGUCGGAGGAAAUUUGGUAACGUGGAAAAGUAAGAAACAAAAGGUGGUGGCACUGUCAAGUGCUGAAGCAGAAUUCAGGGGAAUAGCAAAAGGACUGGUAGAACUCCUAUGGAUCAGAAAGUUGAUGUUUGAGCUUGGAUUCCCAUCAAAGGAUGCAGCUGAACUCCAUUGUGACAACAAGGCGGCAAUAAGCAUUUCUGAAAAUCCAGUUCAGCAUGAUCGAACAAAAUAUGUUGAAAUAGACUGACAUUUCAUCAAAGAAAAGUUGGACAGUGGUCUGAUAUCUUUACCGUUUGUUCGAUCAGAGGAUCAAUGGGCGGACAUCCUAACCAAAGCAGUAGCUGGACGAAUAUUCCAUGAGGUUUUGGGCAAGUUGGGUAUGCUAGAUCCACAUGAACCAACUUGAGGGAGAGUGUUGGAAAGAAUCAUCUGUCAUGAUUGUAAAUCAAUCAGUGAUCAAAUCUUACCAUGUUUAGCAUAGCACGAUUCUAGGACAUAAUUGAGGGCACAAUCAAAGGUCUAAUUGUUCAUAUUAUGUACUAUAUAAACUCUGUAACUUACUACACAAGAGGUAAGAAAAUAAAAACAGUUUUCUUCAUAUAAUCUCAAGAAUUAAAAUAUUCAGAAUUAAUUUGUAAAAUAGAAGGAGUUAUUUGUAAAUAAGUAUAUUAUUAGGAUCAACUUGUAAAAUUGUAGGUACUUAUUUAUAAAGAGUAAAAACUUUGUGAUUAAAUUUAUAAUAAUAUUAGGAUAAAUUAAAAAAUAUAAAAUUUAAAUUAGAAGACUAAACUAUAAAUCUAAUUAAACGUAUGAAAUUUUAUUGUUUUAGAUGAAAAUAUAUUUUAGAGGGUAUUAUGAUAUUUUUUAAUAGAUUCAAAAGUCUUAAAAGUUUAAAAGGAAUCGUAUUGUAAAGAUAAGAAUCAAUAUAACGUCUUAAUUUGUAUCGAUAAUGCAGUGAUUUUACCAUUUGCAAUUUUUAAUAAAAAUCUGUUGGUAAAUAAAUUAUCUAAUUCAUUGUUAAAAAGUUCGAUGGUAAAUUUUUAUUAAUAACUUUUAAGUCCGUUAAUAAUACUAAUGGAUUUAUUAAUAGAGUUUUGAUUAUUAUUAAUAACAGAUUUUAAAUCUGUUAAGAGAAAAAUAAUUUACUAAUAAACGUGAAAUCCGUUAAGAAAUUACCAACGUAUUGUAAUUCUUAGUCAAUUUAUUGAGUUUAAAUAAUUUUUUAUUAAUUUAAUAAGACUUAAAAUUAUAUUAUUAUUGUUACUAAGUUUUUAAUUUAUACCCAAUGUGUAUUAGAAAUACAUAGAAAGUGAAAAUAAGAGAAAAGUAAAUGGUAUAAAAUGAGAGAAAAUAAUAAAAGAGAAAGAAAAAAGAGAAAAAUAAAGAAAAUGAUAGAAAAAUAAAAAUUAUGAAAAAGAAAGAAGAAUGAGAGUAGGGUAAAAAGAUGAUUAGAGAAACAGAAAAAAAAGUGAACAAAUGAUUGGAGAAGAAAAUAAAUAAAGAGAAAAAAUAUAGAUGGAAAGAAAAUGAUAAAAGAAAUAAUACUAGAAAAACUAAUAUGAAUGAAAAUUAUAAAGAAAAUAAGAAAAUAAUGAGAAAAUGAAAGAAAAAUAUGGAAAAGAAAAUGAAGAAAAUGAAAGAAAAAUUAUGAAGAAUGAAUGAAAAUAAUAGAAGAUGAAAGAGAACGAUAGAAAGUAGGAUAAGAGAUGAAAAAAAAGAAAAAAUAGAAACAAUAAGAAAAAAAAAACUUAUAAGAUAAAAAAGUGAAAUAAAAAAAAAUAGAAAAUGAAAGAAAAUGAGAGAAGGGGAAAAUCUGGAAGAAAGUAAAAUGAUAAAAUGAAUGAAUGAUAAAAAUAUAAAAGUUGGUGUUAUAUUUAUAAAUGCGAAUUACUAAUGAAUUUGUAAUUUAUUAUUAAAUUAAAAAAAUAACUUUUUUCUCUCCAAAAAAUUAUCAAUAGAUUUCAAAUUUAUUAGUAAACCCGUUAAUAACCGAAAAAUAUAAAUCGUAAAAAAAAAAGUGAAAAUUUAUGCAGAUUUUAUUUUAAAUUUACCAAUUGAUAUAUUAGCGAAUAGCAUCCAUCCAUAAAUUCAACAAUUUUUUUUAUGUAUUAAUUUAAUGAUAAAAUUUAAUAAUAGAUUUUUAAAUUCGUUAGUAAUUUUUUAGGCAAAUUACUAAUAUAUUUAGAGUUCGUAAGUAAUUUAAACACUUUUUAAAAUUUACUUAGGAUGUAAACAAACUGAGCAUAACCUAGUUUUGAAGAGUUCAAGUUUGGUUUGUUAAAAAUUUUUCAAACUCGAGCCGAACUCAAGGUUUAAUCAUUUCGAACUCAAGUCGAGUAUUAAUAAUGUCAAGCUUACUCAUUUAGCAAAUAAACUUAGAUGAGUCGAGUUUUUAUCGAAUUUAAUCUUGAAUAAUUCACGAAUAGUUAAAUUUAUUUACAUAUAUAAUGAAUUUUAUUUUAUGAUCAAAUAUAAUUUAGUCACAUUUUUAUUAUCUUUAUUACUAUUUAAUUACACAUUUUUUCAGCUUAAUUUAUGUUUUUAUAGUGUUUUUGCGGAAAAUGGAGAAAAUGGAAAGUUAGAGAAAAAGUGCAGAAAAAACUGGGAAAUUGAUUGGGUCAGAGUGAUUUGGCCAAAUCACCCGCAGGAAACCAAAACAGAAGGCUAAAGGCAGAAACCUGGAAGUAAUUCACAGAAAUGAUUUGGGCAAGUGAUUUGCCCAAAUCACACUAACGCUAGAGAGACCAAUAACGCGGGAAAGAAGAGCAGAAAAUCAAAAUUCAAAAGUGGAGAAGUCCAAUCCUACUUCAAACACUACAAAGUCAAUUCCAAGAGCCACGAGAAGGUCUUUCACUCAAGAAAUUCCAUUCACAAUUAAAUACAAAAUCAAAAGAGAAAUCAAAGACUACAAAAGACCAAGUCAAAAUUAGGAUUUUCAAACCCUAAUUGGACUAGGAUUCUCCAUCUAUAAAAGGGACAGCAUCAAAAACAGCUAGGGAGAUCUCUCCACAGUCGGAAUUUCUGCAAAAACUCGGCAGAAGCACAACAGCCUCCUCUCUUUUCUUUCUUCUUUCUUUUUUGUGAUUUUGUCCACCAUGAGUGGCUAAACACCUUCUUUUCUAGUUGAAGUUGGGAAAUUUCAGAUUUGUGAUGAAUUGAGAGAUUUAAAACUCUAUUAUUAAACUCUUAUUUAUUUUCAAUAUUUAUGCAACUUGAUCUUUCUAUUAUUAUUGCUUUGCUUUUAGAAUCAAUUAAGGUCUAUUACUUUUAAUUGCAUGAGUAAUAUAUUGUUUGAAUGAUUUAGGUCCGUAAUUACUUAGAUUGUUUAAACUCAAGUAUAAUCGGUUGCAUAAUCUAAACUUGACCACGCGGUUGGCAAGGUUAGAAUUAGAUUUCUCUAAAUCUUAAGGCAGUUAACAGUUGAAAAGUAAAAAAAUCCCAAAAACGUUUAUUGGCAACUUGUUAACUAGUGUUUAAUUAGCAAACAUUUCCUAAUCAUACUAAAACUAAGGAGAAAUUUGGAUUGUGAGAAACGUCUUCCACAUCUUAAACUAAUUUAUUGAAAUAAAUAGGGGUAUCAAAAAGAUCAAUGAUCAAUUCUAAAUAAGUUGAAAUAGAUCCAUACUUCAAUUAGAAUCCUUCUCCCAUUGAUUUACUCAUUUAUUUAAUUACUGCUUUCUUUUACUCAAUUGUAAUUCUUCAAAACAAAAUGCCGCCUUUUAUUUACUUUUAUUAUUUAUUUGUCCAAGUCAUUAUUAGGAAAAUUCGUAUUGUCAAAUCCAUGUGGUUUGACCCUAUUGUCACUAUCUACAAAUUAUUUUAUUGAUUGAAAAUAGGUUUAUUUUUUACGGUUUCGACAACCGCUAUCACUUUAAAACUAAUAAAUUUAAAACUAAAUAAUUUUAGUUAAAUAAAUAUAUAUAUAUAAAUUAGCUCCUAAAUUUAUAAAGAUAAGAUCUUAAAUUUUAACCUCUAAAUAUAUGCAAGUUUUAAUAGUGUAAUUAAAGUAUAUAGAGCUGAAUUUUAAAAAAUUUAAAUUUGGUUUAUGAAAGUAUAUGUAGGGUUUAAAAUUAUUUUUAUUAUGAUAUUAAUCUCAGUCUGUUUAACGAGACUACUCACAAGUUGUUCGUGAGCCUGUUCAUGAACUCGAAAAUGAACUGACAUCUUGAGUCUUAACGAGCCGAAUAUUAUGAAAUUUAAACUUGACUCAUUUACUAAAUAAAUUUAAAAAUUAAAUUUGAGCUUGCAUCAUAUAGAAAUAAAGUCAAAAUCGAUCAAGUUUUUAUCGAGUUGAAUCUCGAAUAACUCAUAAAUGGUUUAAUUCAUUUACACCCCUAAAUUUAUUAACAGAUUCAAAUUAUCAAUAAAUUACCAAAGAAUUUAUUAACAGAUUUUAAAUCUGAUAGGAAAUUUCAACACCAAUUAUUUUAUAAAUUUAUAAAGUUUUACAGAAUUUUUAAAUCCGUUAAUAUUAAUUUCAAAUUCGUGGUGAAUAAUAAUUUAUAAAGUUUUAAAGAAUUUUUAAAUCCGUUAAUAUUAAUUUCAAAAUUGUGGUGAACUUUUACAUGAUUUGUUGGUGAAUUUUUACAUAAUUUUUUUAUAUUAAGAAUUAAGAUGAAUUUUUAAAUUUAUUAAUAAAUUCAUUAAAUUUACUAAUGAAUUAAAGCACUAAUAAAAUCUGUUGGUAAUACGAAAAUAUAAAAAUUUCUUGUAGUGAAAAUUGUCCGGACAAAAUAUCUAUAAGUGGAUUGUGUGGUGCUGUGCUCUUCAUUAUCGGUAGAUCUACGAGGAGCUGAGAUUAUUGCAUAUAUAUAUAUAUAAUGUAUUCGAUUAUUUUUAUAUUUAAUAUUAUUUUAUUAAUUUUAUAAAUUAAAUUAUUCAUAUAACUUAAACAUAAUUAUUUUCCUUUUAAUUAUUAAACAAUUAUUAACAAUAUUAAAAAAUAAUCAUAUAUUCUAAUUAAUUAUUAAAAAUUUCUAACAAUAUAUAAUUAAAUAAUUUAAUUAAUUAAUUUUAGUGUAUUCUACCUAAGUAGAUUAUAUAUGUGUGUGUAUUUUUUUAUAUCAACCAUAAAUGUAUUAAUUAUUUUGUAGUUUUUAAUUAUAUAAAUAAAUUACGUAUUAAUAAUAUAAUAUAUUUUUAUAUAUUAAUUAUAUCUAUUUUUUAAUGAAAAUUAUAUAAUUAAUAACUACAUAAAAUAAUAAAAUAUUCUUAUCCAGAGUUAUAUAUAAUAUAUAUUAUAUUACUACAGUUAUUAUUAUUAUUAUUAUUAUUUAAUAUUAAUUAUUUAUUAUUUUAAAAUAAACGUAAAAGGCUAUUACGAUUUUAUUUGUAAAAAUUAAAAUUUAAAAUGAAACAAAAUUAAAAUUAAAAUAAUAAAAAAAAUUGAAAUCAAAUUGAGACUACUGAAAUUACUUAGAACUAUACUAAAUUUCAAUUCUAAAUAUGAUUCUACAUAAAUUUAAUUUGGUUCUGUUUCUUAGCAAAAACUAUAGCUUUUCCUUUUAGCAUGUUGCCUUUUAUGAACUUGUUCAUAAAUAAAUUUGGACAAAAAGUCCUGUUAAAUAGCUGAAGCUAAACUAGCAUUUUAAUCGCUAGUAGGACCAAUUGCAGUUGCUUAUCUCAGUGGCUGCAUGUCUGAUUUUCAUCCUCUUCUUUUGCUUAUAAUUUCUAAACCAAUCAGCAAGUAUCUCUAACAUGCCCAAAAGCUUUCCAAAAGUCUCAAAAUCUAUAUGAAACUCUUUCCUCCACUCCCAACUUUCUAACUUCCUAACUUUUCUUUUAAGAAUGAGGAGGCUGAACAUAUAAUUAUACUAAAAACAAACUCAUAUCUUUAAUGAUGCUUUAAAACACCAAGUUUAUCCCAUAGUUUCUUCAAUCUUCUAAAGUAAACAACAACUGAUAUAGAUUCUUGACUGAAACUACUUAUUUCUUUCUUUAAUUGGUGUAUAAGUUGCCCAAAUCUUUCUUUAAAGCAAGUGUCAUAGUCACAGACAUACUCCAAGUCGAAUAAUUUACUAAAUUUAAAGGUGCAGAUAGAUAUGAGAAUCCUACUUGGAUUAUCUGAGUUUUAAAGAGUAGAAGGAUCUGAAUCAUUUUGCAAUUGGUUUCCUACCUCUCAAUAUGUACCCUGUCAGCCCCACCUUCUCUAACAAACCAUUUUCCAUGGAUGCAGUCACAAAAACUUCAAGAAUGAUGCAUCUUGCAAAAAGAAAAAUACCGUGUACAAACAAGAGCCCAAAGAAAAUUUUAUUGAGUAUAUUACAAGGUUUAGAAAGUGGUAAAAACAUAAGAUGUCUCAUUAUAUACUGCUGAAAGGAGAAAAGAAACAACCAAAACAUCUUUUCUUGCCUAACUUAACUAACAUCUCAAACAGUAAGAAACAAUGCGUUUCACAUUCAUAACACCACACAAAUGUAUCGCAAAAUGCACCAUAUAAAUAACUCAAAUGGUGGUCCAACACUAAAAUAUAUCCGUUAUAUACCAUAUUGACAAAGAGGAUGUUUGCUUUUCCCUCAAUUCCCAUAACAUUUUCUGUUGUCUAUAAUUUUAGUGACUUUUCAUCCAACCAACAGCUGUAGAAGUCUAGUGAUUUUCUUACCUUGUAUUCUGGGACUGUAUAUCCUGCGCCCUGCAUUUAUAGUGUAGUAUAAUUGUUAAAUCAAUUCUCAAUUAAAGCACACCGGUUUAUAAUCAUUAGUUUCAUUAUAAUUAAAAAUUAUAAUAACAAAGCAAAAAUGAAUUGCUUAUACCUUUAUGGUUAGAAAGGUGAAGUUGUAGUCAUAUCCUUGCAAGUACCUACAAGAGAAAUGAUAGCAUUUUGAAAGGUCAUUGAGCACAAAAAUAAAAAUAGAUAAAGAUUCUUAGGCAUUGUAGUAUGGAACUAAUUAGUUUUAGUUCUCAACUCAAUGUUAGGACUGAGCUCUCGAGUUAAGGCUGUAGUAGCAGCAAAAAAAAAAAAUUGUAAUGGAGAUGGUGGGUUUACCAGCAACGUGAUGAUUAGAAAUCCAUGACCUCCAUUCAUCAACAAUCUUAUAUCAAAGAGAUCUAGUCCAUGUCAGAAUUCAAGCGAAAGGCACACACAUAUCAUGGUUUUCACCACAGGUCAUUUGCAGUGUUAGAAAUUUUCGUUUUGUGGAAGAGAAUCACAGCUGAUUGAAAUUAAAAAUGAUAUUUGAAGAAGUUAGUUAAAUUACAUAUUCUAUUAUAUUUGAAAAAGGUAAUUACCAAGUUGCGCUCCAAGACACACUUGAAUGGUCAAGAUAUAACAACUUUAGUUUGCUAAUCCCUCAUUGCGCACCUUUAAAAGCCUCAGAAUGAGAUUAUUAUUCCGCGAUAAAUGUACUAGCAAUUCUGUGGUAGCAUCAUCAGCAGUGAACCCCCUUAUCAACCAUUUCGGUGAUUAGUUCUGAUGCUUUUGGUAAAUCCUCAUGCAUGAGAAACCCUUGAAUGAUGAUAUUAUAACAACAAUUAUUUGGUAAACAUCCUACCUUUUCCAUGUCUUUAAAUACGUUAUACGCUUCAUCAAUUAAUCCUUGUUGGCAGAGUCCUUUCAUAAUUGCAUAAUAUACAUAAACAUCAGGUUGUAAACCAAUUUCAAAAAGACUAGAAAAAAGUUCCUUGGCAUCAUUAAUCUUCCCAACUUUGCACAUACCAUUGAUCAGACUGCUAUAGAUCACAACAUUAGGUUUCAACUGACUUUUCUCCAUUGCUUUCAAUAGUGUGAGUGCCUCAUCGAGAUUCCCCUGUCUACACAAGCCAUCAAUCAUAAUUGAGAAGGUUACUAUAUUUGGUUGUUGACCAUGAGAGCACAUAUCCUUAAAGAGCUCUUUUGCAUUUUGGGGCCUCCCUGCUUGAAACAUACCCUCUAUAAGAGUAGAAUAAGUAACAACAUCAGGAACUAAACCUUUAUGAGACAUUUCAACAAAAAUAUCCUUUGCAUCAUCUAUCAUUUUGCACUUGCAAUAUCCAUUGAUCAAAAUGCUGUAGCUAAAAAUGUCAGCUAUUUCAUUGGUCACCGUCAGAUCAAAUACCUUUCUAGCCUUAUCAAUUUGCUUGCACAGACAAUAUCCAUCCAUCAAUGAAUUAUAAUUGACAACAUCAGGUUCCACACCUCUUUGAAUCAUUAUCUUGAUUAUAUUCUGUGCAUUUGAAACCAGUCCUUUCUUACAAAGAGUGUCGAUCAAUAUAUUGAAGGUAAAAACAUCAGGGGAUAUGUUCCUCCCCACCAUUUCUUUCAACAAGGCCAAAGCUUCCUUGAAUUGGUCUGAAAUGCAAAGACCAUCAAUUAAGGAAUUGUAGGUGACCACAUCAGGCUCUACACCUCUUUGAAUCAUUACAUUGAAUGUAUUUUGAGCCUCUGAAACCAUUCCAUCCUUACAAAGAGCAUUGAUCAAUACACUGAAGGUAUAAACAUUUGGUAAUAUGUUUUGCUCCACCAUUUCAUUCAUCAAGGCCAAAGCUUGGUUCUUUUGGCCUAAUUUGCAAACACCAUGAAUUAAACCAGUGUAAGUGAUGACAUCAGGUGAAAUGCCCUUAUUCCUCAUUUGAGAGAAGAGCUCUAAAGCCUCACCAACUAGCUCAUCCUUGCAAAGGGCGUGAAUGAUUGCAUUGUAUGUCACAACAUCUGGCUCACAACCUCUAUCAGCCAUUCCCUUUAGCAGCCCAAUAGCCACGUUUGUUUUCCCAAAUUUACACAUUCCGUUUACUAUCACAUUAUAAGUAUAAACAUUAGGUUGAUAACCACGUGCAACCAUAUCAUCGGAAAAUUUCACUGCUUUAUCCAUUUUACCCUUCAUACAAAGCCCAUUAAUUAAGGUAGUAAAUGUCACAGUGGUAGGCUCCAAUCCGAAUUUGAGCAUCUUACCAAAAACAGAGAAGCCAAAAUCCACAAGGUGUAAACGGCAGAAGCAAUUAAUUAAGAUGUUAAGAGAAUAAACAUUGUGAGAGAUUCCUAGCAAUUCAAUUGUUUUGGACAUGGAAAGGACAGUAUGAUAUUGUUUCAUUUUCACAAGGGCAGAUAAGAAUCUAUUAAAUGGAGCCCUAAAAGGCAGAGGAUGCAUAUGAAUUACAUGAUUGAAGGACGCAAUGGCACCAUCAAGGUGAGUAAAAGAAGCAGAUUUGAAAUUAUUUGUCAAGAAGUGUGCAUCUUCAAGUGUGGAAGUAGAAGAAUGGCAAAAAUUGGUAAAUAAGAAUAGGAAUGGAGAUUGAAUGUUACCAAUUGCCCCUUGUAGCUGAAGAUGGAAGCUCCUGCUCUUCCUCCUCGAAGGCAUCUUCAUCAUCAUCGAUCUCUUGUCAGUUGUUUUUAGGGAUGGAUCGGAGAUUGGGAAUGAGGAAAGGAAAUAGAGAAUUGGAAAAGGAAGGCUCUCUGCCUGCUGGUAAAGGAAAUGCAUUACUCUGUCGUUUAUAUGCACCACAUUUUGUAAUUUUUUAUUAAAUUUUCAUAUAAAAAUAUUAUUUAAUAGCAAAUUAAAUUUAUCAUUUGUAGAUACCUAAUUAAAGGCAGUUAUAUAAAUUGUUAAUUUUAUUUUUAAUAUUAAUAAAAUUUCAUGAAAAAUAUAUUUAAUUUUUAGCUUAUAUAAUUUUUUAUUAUUAAUUAUUUUAUUUUAUUAUAAUAAAAUUAAUUUUUUUACCAAACUUUACUCUUAUAGGAAUUGUUUAGCGCAUUUUUAUUUUGACAUCUAUUUAGAUAAUAUUACGAUUUAAUUAAUGUAAUAAAAAAAUUAAUAUAUAAAAUUAUUUCAAAAUAAUAAAAUUUUGAAAUGCUCAAACUCACUACAUAUAUUUCGCAUUUUCAAUUUUAUUUGUUAUUAAUAUUAACGUAAAAUUAUAAUAUAUAAUUUUUUUUCUAUAGAUUUAAUAUACAGUAUAUUGUAUUAUAAAUUAUAAGAAAUUAUUUUUAAAAUAUGAAUAAUACUUAUGUACAAAAUAUCAUAAAAGUUAAAAAAUUAAAUUAAAACAUUAAAAUUCAUUAAAAUUAUAAAUAUUUUAUUUAUAUGAUCACAUAAUAAAUUUUAAAUUAAAAAAUUAAAUUAAUGUGUGAAACUAAUCAUAAAAAUAUAAAAUUAUUAGCAUGAAUUAUUUAUUCGGAAUUUUUAGCCAAAAACUCAGAUAUCUAUCAUUAUAAAAUUAAUACUUUUAAUAAUUUUUUAAGUAGAAAGUUUUAAAUUUUAGUUAGUUAUUUGUUUUAGAUUAUAAUGAAUUUAAUUUCAAUUUAAAUUAAAAAGUAAUAUAGUUAAUUAAUUAAAUAUUUUUAAAUAGCAAUAAAAUACAAUAAAUUUAUAAUUAUUAAAUGUAGUUUGACAAUUUAAAUAAUAAUAGCUUCUUAAUUAUUUAUAUUUAAAUUAUCAUUUUUAUAUCUUAAAUUCUAAGAUUAUCUUUUAUAGACAUGUAUAAGAUAAACUAAAUUAUAUAUAUAUAUAAAGAAAACUAAAUUACUCUCCAAUCUUCAUGUUAUAAUAUUAUAUAAUUAAUUAUUUUUACUAGUUUAAAAAUAUGUUAUAAGAGAGACAACACACUUAAUAUAUCAUAACUUAUAUGAUUCUGAGCGAUACAUUCUACUAAAAAAUAAAAUUCAGAUAAUUAAAGGUGUUUAAUUUUAGAGCCAAAAGAUCGAAAAACUCUUGAGUUUCAUCAUUCAAAGUGUUAAAUGGGUGUUGAGACCUUAAGAUUUCAGCCUUAAAAUUAAUAUCAACAGGAGGUCUCAACCGCCUUUGAAAUCCAAGGAUUAUAUGACAGUCAACUCAAGACUGAAACCCAAGGGUAAUGACUAUUGAGUUGAAGGCUUCGGCCUACUAAGCCAAAAUCCAAAUAGACGAUAUUAUUCAAAUCACGUAAAAGUCGUAUGAUAAUUAAGACUUCAAAUCACAUAUGAGUAAAAAUGUUCUCGGAGUAAAAUUUUACAAUCUAGAACCAAUAUAGAUUUCAAAUAGUCCUACCAAGAGUCGACCAGCUUUAGAUCUAAAAGACACCUCAAGUAUGUUAAGUUAUCUUUUAAUCAAACCAUUCUCUAUACCUUUAUUUUGAGAUUUAUGAUAGAUCACUUACUAAUUUAAGUAUCAAAAAGAUAACCCACAAUAAUUCAUAUCUGAACGUUAUAUCUAUUGAGCCUGAGAAGAUCAAUAUACCAUCACUAAAAAUGGUUAUUGAUAUUAAUUGCACUACAUUUUACAUAUAUUUUAGGACAAAUCUAUACAUGGAUUUAUCUGAAUUCAUAUUUUACUAGGUAUAGAACCAAUCUUUAUUCAUAUUGUUUACAAAGAAGCUGAAACAUGGUAAACUAAAGACUUUUUUUAUUAUUUUUUUAAAAAAUUAAAAAAACUUAUUAAAUUAAGAAAAAUUAGAUGUAUAUUUGCACCUCUAAACUUUAUUAAAAAAAUUAUAUCCACAAAAAUUAAAUUAUUUUCUUAAGUUAAACUACUUUCAUAUAUUUUAUUUAUAAUUUUGACUCCACUUAUUUACGAAAAAUAAUUACUAUUUGAAUAAUAUUAAAAAAUAUUUUUUAAUAAAAUAACUUAUUUUCUCUUAUUUAAUUUUAAUUUAAAAAUAAAAUUUAUAAACUAAUUUAUAUAGCAGUCUUAAUAAGAUACUCAAAAUGCAGACAAUGAUUUUUUUUUUUUAAUUUAUUUUUCUUAAAAUAACUUAAUUUUUAUUUUAAAUAAAAAAUAUUUUCUAUUAACUAAAUUUUAAGAGUGUUUUGAAUGUUGGAAAAUAUGGACAAUUAUUACAAGAAAAAUAUUCAUUAAUGAGAGAAAAAAUUAUCAUUAAAUAUUAAAAAUUAAUCAUUGAAAAAUUACAAAAUUAUUUUUAAUUUUGUGAAAACAAAAAAUAAAAAUCAUGAAGUGAUACUAAAUGCACUUUAAAUUAGUCGUUAUAUAUAUAUAUGAGUGCAAGUGUGUAGAAAGUGAAUUAAGAAAUUAAAAUAUAAAAGAGUAAAUUAUUGUUUGAUUUUUGUACUAUUUUAAUUUUUUUUUAUUUCUAUGUCAUUCUGUUAAAAUAAAUCAUUAUAUUAUUUAUUUUUUUAAUUAUAUAUAUAUAAUUUAUUUUUUCUAAUUAAAGCUAAAAAUAUAUUUAUUAAUAUUUUAUUCGAUAAAAAUAUCAAAGAAUUUGAUUUUAUAAAAUUGAAUGAUUUGAAAAUAAAAAUUGAAUAGUUAAUUUUAAUAAAAUACAACGAUCUAUUAACAAUUUAAUCUUAUAAAAAAGAAUUAUUCAAAACUCUCUAAAGUUUCAUCAAACAGUGAGAAUCCCCUUGCAAGUUUCAUCAAACUUAUCAGUAGUGCAAGUAAGUACAAUUGGCCCAUCAAUUCUGGAGUCGAGAUCACCAUUCUGAUAUUGUUUAAUCAAUUCUUGUAAUGCCAGAAACUUCAGAUUCUCUACUUGAACUUGAUAUCUCUUGCUCUCGUUACCCACGUAUAUGGCUACAUAGCCUUUUCGAAUUUGUGGAGUUUUGACUUUUUGAUCAGUGGAACUGGAGAGCAAUUUAUAAGAAAAAAAUGACUAGAUUGCAUAACGUUGAUCUAAAAUUUUGUAAAUAAAAUCCAUUUUCCUGCUAGAAGCUCUCGACGAUGACAUUAUUGAUGAAAUUUUUUUAAGUUAAAAAAACUAUUUGAGAGUUAAAGAAUCCGAAAGAAAAUUGUAUUACAAAGAAUAAUAGUUGGGAUUCAAUUUAUAUAUAGAAUGAAUGAGUUUUCCUGAUGAAAUUUGGAUUUCCAGCAGUAAGUAAAGUUUUUUAGCUGGAUUAGUUUAUUAAUUGGUUUAAAAAAGAUACAAAUUAAGGCAGUGAAAAAGAAUCUUUAUUAAUUAUAUAAUUAUUUACAUUUUGAUUUAUUAAUGGUAAUUGCUAAAUAUGGUAAUUAAGUGAUGCUUAAGUUUAUAAUUUUGAGAAUAAUAAGAUAUGACGAUAAUAUUUAUUCAGUUUUAUGGUUUUUAGUUUCUUAAAAUGGCAGAAUUAGUUUAUAGGUCAGUAGAUUUUUUGUUAGGAGUUUGAAAUGGGAGAGAUUAUCACAAAUUAUAUGCAAUAUUCACACUUAAUUAAUUCUCUAAAUUUUUCAUACAGAAUGUUGAAAUGGUUAUCUUUGAUUAAAAAAAAGAAAUGGUUAUAAUAAAAAAUUAAAUAUUUUAUUUUUUUAUAUCAACACCAAUUUUGUUAAAAAUAACAAAAUUAUUAAAAUUAUUGAAUAAAUUAACUAAAAUUAAUAAUGAGUGAAAAUAUUGAAUUAACAGAAAGAUUUUGAUUUUUUUCUUUUUGUUAUUUAAUUUUUUUAAAGAAAUGAAGAUAACUAUUUUUUAACAAAAAGUGGGGCCAUUGAAACUAGAAUUAGCUGCUUUGAUUCAAUUUUUCUUUUCUUUUUUUGUAAAUUUUAUGUUGAUUCCCUUCAAUUUUUUUUUCUUACUAGAAUUUAUUUUCUUUUUGUAGUUUAUUAACUAUCAUACAUUACAAAAUAAUAUUUAAUGGAAAAUUUUAAUUAUAGUUUUAUUAAUAAUGAUGUUUAUAUUAAUUUUAUAUUAUUUAAUUUUAUAUAAUAAGAUAAAUAAUAAAAAGUAAAAAUACCUUUUAUAUAUAUAUAUAUAUAAGAGUUUAAUUUAUGUAAGAGUUUUCUUUAUAAUAAAGUUAUAUAUUUAAUUUAAUUAANNNNNNNNNNNNNNNNNNNNNNNAUAUAUAUUUUGAGAGUUUAAUUUAGGUAAGAGUUUGUAAAAUUAUAAAUAACAAACAGAUUUAUAAAUCAUUUGCAAAUAAAAGUGUAAUCGUUUAUAAAAUUAAAAAGAUACAUAGAUACAUGUAUGAAUUUGUUCAUACAUACAAAUGUGUGAACCAUUUGUAAACUUAAAUGCUCAUAAACAAAUUCACAAAUGAAAAUUUGUUAUGGAGUUAUAAUCCAUUUUUAAAAUUAGAUGUACACAUAUGGAUUUGUAGGGGUGAGCAUUCGGUCGGUUCGGUUCAAAAUCGAAUCGAACUGAAAAAACCGAAAACCUAAAUUUUAGUAUUUAUGAAAAUCGAACCGAACCGAUUUUGGUCAGAAACCGAAUCGAACCGAACCGGUCUGAUUCGGUUCGAUUCGGUUCGUUUGAUCAGUUUCGAUUUUUAAUGAUUUUUUUUAUUUUUUACACUUUAUUUUUAAUAUUUUAAAAUUUAAUUAAAAUAUUUUAAUUUUAAUAUGAUUUAAUUUCUCUACAUUAUUGAAAAAACAUAUUAUUAUCACUAAUCGGUUCGGUUCGAUUUUUUCAGUUUUUUUCUGAUUAAAACCGAACCGAACCGAAAUAACUGAAAUUUUUGAAAUUAAAAACCGAACCGAACCGAAAUGUAUAAAAAAUCAACUAAAUUUUAAAUCGAUUCGGUUCGGUCGGUUUUUUUGAGUUUGAACCGAAUACUGCUCACCCCUACGGAUUUGUAAAUAGAAGUGUAACUAUUUGUAAAAUUAAAAAGACAAACGGAUUUACAAAUAAAUAUGCAAUUGAUUUGUAAAAUUAAGAAAAAUUAACUAUUUAAUCAUUAUGAUAUGAUAAAAUUUAUCCGUUGUUCCCUUUAUUUUAAAAAAUAUAUUAAAAUAUUUUUAAAAUUUUAAAAAAUUUACUAAUUAAUCACUCCGUUACUAUAGGGACUAAGUAGUAAUCUUUUCUAAAAUUAAAGGACUACAAACAUAUUUACAAAUAAAUAUGAAAAUAAAAAUUAAAUGGAUAUAGAAUAAUUUGUAAAUGGACUUAUAAUUAGCUUGUGAAAUUAAUACAAAUAAAUUUAUAAACGAAUAUAUAUAAGUCAUUUAUAAAUUUAAUUUGAUAUAAAUAAAUUUAUGAUAUAGAAUUAUAAAAAAGAAUAUUUAUAUUUUUGCUAUUUCCAUUUGUAAAGCUAUAACAUUCAUAAAUGAAUUUAUAUCGGUUUAUAAAUUCCAUUUAUAUUUUAAAAAAUUCUUAUAGUAAAGGAUGAAAGAGUGAACAAUCAUAAUAAAUAGAAAAUCUUUCCAAAACAAUUAAACAAACUAUAUCAGAAGAAUUGAAGAGUUGGUUAAGAUUAUGCAGUCUAUCAGUUGUUCUUAAUUUUUAUCUUUUUCAAAAAUAUAAAAAUAAGAGUUGAUCAAUAAAAUAUAACAUGUUUCGGUUUGGAGAGUUGAUUGAGACUAUUUAGUUGUAUUCAAUUUUUAUCUUUUUCAAAUAUAUAUAUAUAUAUAAAUUUCCGAAAAGCAAAGAAACCAAAAUCCAGAAGGUGUAAAUGGAAAAAGAAACAUUUAAGAAUCUAUUAAAUAUCAAGAAUUCAGUUGUUUUAAACAAGGAAAUGACAAAGUACGUAAUAUUGUUGCAUGGCAUUUUCACAAGGGCAAAUAAGAAUCUAUUAAAUUGAGCCUACAAGGCAAAGGAUGCAUAUGAGUUACUGUUAGUAGACAGACCUUGCUAAUUUAUAAACGCUCAAUCAUAGAAAGAAGAAAGGGAUGCAGGUUACCAAGAUCAAUCACAUUAGAGAUUUUGACAAGUAUAAUUUUGACAAUUCAAUUAUUUCCCAUUCCCAUUUGUUCUUCACCCAACAGCCCAUAUUUAACAUCAACACAAAUAGGUUAGCUGCUAAAUUUAAUAGUCUGCUAAAGGAGAAUUUGAGAGCAAUAUUACCAACCGAUCGUCUCUCAUUCCAAAAUUUCAUUUUCAUCUCAUUCCCCACAGCAAAUCUGAUAUGAAUUAAAGGAGAGAAGGAAGAGUUCAUCGAAAGUAGCAUAGCCUCGAAUGUCUUUCUGAAGGGAAGAAAUGCAAUUUCCUGGAGCAAGAGAGAUACCCUUCUCCAAAUUGAAAGAAUAUUUGGAUAGAAGUUGAACUCAGAGUGAAUCCCUAUGAUUUUCAAAUCUCCAAAGCCAUUUGAACAAAAGAGCUUGAAUUUGAAGAGAGAUCUCUUUCAUGCCUAAGCCUCCUUUCUUUUUAGGCAACAAAAGAGUAUUCCAUUUAAUCAGAUGAAGUUUCUUUGUACUGACAUUUUUCCUGCCACCUUUGAUUAUACCUGUGUUAUAUAUAGAGCUAACCUGCCUUUUAUGAACUUGUUCAUAAAUACAUUUGGACAAAAAGUCCUGUUAAAUAGCUGAAGCUAAACUAGCAUUCCAAUCGCUAGUAGGACCAAUUGCAGUUGCUUGUCUCAGUGGCUGCAUAUGUCUGAUUUUCAUCCUCUUCUUUUGCUUUUCCCUCAAUUCCCAUAACAUUUUCUGUUGUGUAUAAUUUUAGUGACAUUUCAUCCAACCAACAGCUGUAGAAGUCUGGUGAUUCUCUUACCUUGUAUUAUGGGACUGUAUAUCCUGCAACCUGCAUUUAUAGUGUAGUCUAAUUGUUAAAUCAAUUCUCAAUUAAAGCACACUGGUUUAUAAUCAUUAUUUUCAUUAUUAUUAAAAAUUAUAAUAAUUAAGCAAAAAAGAAUUGCUUAUACCUUUAUGGUUAGAAAGGAGAAGUUGUAGUCAUAUCCUUGCAAGUACCUACAAGAGAAAUGAUAGCAUUUUAAAAGGUCAUUGAGCACAAAAAUAAAAACAAAGAUUCUUAAUCAUUGUAGUACGGAACCAAUUAGUUUUAGUUCUCAACUCAAUUUUAGGACUGAGCUCUCGAGUUAAGGCUGUAGUAGCAGCCAAAAAAAAAAUUGUAAUGGAGAUGUUGGGUUUACCAGCAACUUGAUGUAGAAAUCCAUGACCUCCAUUCAUCAACAAUCUUAUAUCAAAGAGAUCUAGUCCAUGUUUGAAUUCAAGCGAAAGGCACACACAUAUCAUGAUUUCCACCAUAGGUAAUUUGCGGUUUUAAAAAUUUUUGUUUUGUGGAAGAGAAUCACAGCUGAUUGAAAUUAAAAAUGAUAUUUGAAGAAAUUAGUUAAAUUACAUAUCUAUUAUAUUUGAAAAAGGUAAUUACCAAGUUGCGCUCCAAGAUACACUUGAAUGGUCAAGAUAUAACAACUUUAGUUUGCUGAUCCCUCAUUGCGCACCUUUAAAAGCCUCAGAAUGAGAUCAUUAUUCCGCGAUAAAUGUACUACCAGUUCUGUGGUAGCAGCAUCAGCAGAGAACCCCUUAUCAACCAUUUCAUUGAUUAGUUCUGAUGCUUUUGGUAAAUCCCCAUGCUUGAGAAACCCUUGAAUGAUGAUGUUAUAACAAGAAUUAUUUGGUAAACAUCCUACCUUUUCCAUGUCUUUAAAUACGUUAUACGCUUCAUCCAUUAAUCCUUGUUGGCAGAGUCCCUUCAUUAUUGCAUUAUAUACAUAAACAUCAGGUUGUAAACCAAUUUCAAAAAGACUAGAAAAAAGUUCCUUGGCAUCAUUAAUCUUCCCAACUUUGCACAUACCAUUGAUCAGACUGCUAUAGAUCACAAAAUUAGGCUUCAACUGACUUUUCUCCAUUGCUUUCAAUAGGGUGAGUGCCUCAUCGAGAUUCCCCUGUCUACACAAGCCAUCAAUCAUAAUUGAGAAGGUUACUAUAUUUGGCUGUUGACCAUGAGAGCACAUAUCCUUAAAGAGCUCUUUUGCAGUUUGGGGCCUCCCUGCUUGAAACAUAGCCUUUAUAAGAGUAUGAUAAGUAAUAGCAUUAGGAACUAAACCUUUAUGAGACAUUUCAUCAAAAAUCUGCUUUGCAUCAUCUAUCAUUUUGCACUUACAAUAUCCAUUGAUCAAAAUGUUGUAGCUAAAAAUGUCAGCUAUUUCAUUGGUCACCAUCAGAUCAAAUACCUUUCUAGCCUUAUCAAUUUGCCUGCACAGACAAUAUCCAUCCAUCAAUGAAUUAUAAGUGACAACACUAGGUUCCACACCUCUUUGAAUCAUUAUUUUGAUUAUAUUCUGUGCAUUUGAAACCAGUCCUUUCUUACAAAGAGUGUCAAUCAAUAUACUGAAGGUAAAAACAUUAGGGGAUAUGUUCCUCCCCACCAUUUCUUUCAACAAGGCCAAAGCUUCCUUGAAUUGGUCUGAAAUGCAAAGACCAUCAAUUAAGGAAUUGUAGGUGACCACAUCAGGCUCUACACCUCUUUGAAUCAUUACAUUGAAUGUAUUUUGAGCCUCUGAAACCAUUCCAUCCUUACAAAGAGCAUCAAUCAAUACAUUGAAGGUAUAAACAUCUGGUAAUAUGUUCUGCUCCACCAUUUCAUUCAUCAAGGCCAAAGCUUGGUUCUUUUGGCCUAAUUUGCAAACACCAUGAAUUAAACUAGUGUAAGUGAUGACAUCAGGUGAAAUGCCCUUAUUACUCAUUUGAGAGAAGAGCUCUAAAGCCUCACCAACUAGCACAUCCUUGCAAAGUGCGUCAAUGAUAGAAUUGUAUGUCACAACAUUUGGCUCACAACCUCUAUCAGCCAUUCCCUUUAGUAGCCCAAUAGCCACGUUUGUUUUCCCAAAUUUACACAAUCCGUUUACUAUCACAUUGAAAGUACGAACAUUAGGUUGAUAACCACGUGCAACCAUAUCAUCGAAAAAUUCCACUGCUUUAUCGAUUUUACUCUCCAUACAAAGCCCAUUAAUUAAGGUAGUAAAUGUCACAGUGGUAGGCUCCAAUCCGAAUUUGAGCAUCUUACCAAAAACCGAGAAGCCAAAAUCCACGAGGUGCAAGUGGCAGAAGCAAUUAAUUAAGAUGCUAAGAGAAUAAACAUCGUGUGAGAUUCCUAGCAAUUCAAUUGUUUUGGACAUGGAAAAGACAGUGUUAUAUUGUUUCAUUUUCACAAGGGCAGAUAAGAAUCUACUAAAUUGAGCCCUAGAAGGAAGAGGAUGCUUAUGAAUUACAUGAUUGAAGGAAGCAAUGGCAUCAUCAAGGUGGGUAAAAGAAGCAGAUUUGAAGUUAUUUGUCAAGAAGCGUGCAUCUUCAAGUGUGGAAGUAGAAGAAUCGCAAUAAUUGGUAAAUAAGAAUAGGAAUGGAGAUUGAAUGGUACCAAUUGCCCCUUGUAGCUGAAGAUGGAAGCUCCUGCUCUGCCUCCUCCAAGGCAUCUUCAUCAUCAUCGAUCUCUCGUCAGUUGUUUUUAGGGAUGGAUCGGAGAUUGGGAAUGAGGAAAGGAAAUAGAGAAUCGGAAAAGGAAGGCUCUCUGCCUGCUGGUAAAGUGGUAAGGAUAACAUAAGGAAAUUGGUAAGGGAUAAGGAUAAGGAUAACAUAAGGGAAAUUGGUAAGGGAAAUUGGUAAAGUGGUAAGGAUAACAUAAGCCAAAAUCCACAUUUUGUAAUUUUUUUUUAUUAAUUUUUCAUAUAAAAAUAUUAUUUAAUAACAAAUUAAGUUUAUCAUUUUAUAAUAAUAAUUUUUAAAUAUAAAUCCAAUUAAGUCUCUACUUUUGUUUAAGAGUCAAAAAAUUUUAAUUCAAAAUUUUAGAUUAAUUAAAUCUAUAUACUAUUAUUUAAGAGUCAAAUAAAUCAUAAUUUAAUGUAAUAUUAUUUUUUUAAUAAUAAAAAUAUUUUUUUAAAUAAAAUAUUAUAAAUAUAAUUGUAGAACAUUGAUUUUUUAUUUUAUUAAAUAAGUAUUAAAAAAUAUUUUUUAAAUAAAAUAUUAUAAAUUUAAUUGUAGAAUAUUGAUUUUUUAUUUUAUUAAAUACUAUUUUUUACUCUAAUAUAAUUAGAAAUUUAAGUGAGUUCCCCUGGUGGUCCGACGCGUUGCAAGAGGCGGAGAGGAGGUUCUGCGGCAUAAUUCAGGUGAGCCAGGUCCGAUUGGGAAAGAUAUGGCUAGUGGCGUGACAGGCACCUUGCUGACAUGGUUGCUGAAUGAGAAAGUUUCCAAGAGGAGAGAAAGCUUCGGUGGUGUAACUAAAGGAGAAUGCUUCGAUGGACGUGGGAGGCUUAUAUUUCCUUUUUUUCAAAAUUUAUUUUUUAAUAAAAUUUAUAUUUAAAAAUAAGUUUAAUUUCUUAAAAAAUAAGCUUAAUUAAAAUUAAAAUAAAUUUUUAAUAAUAAUAUAAAAGGUUAAAUUAAAGCAUGUUGAAUUUAUAAAAUUAGAAUGAAAUUAAAAUUUUAGAAAUAAAAUGGGAGUGAAAUAAUGAGACUAAAAUUGAAAUUAAAAAUCAAUAUUUAGUAUUGCACUAAAAUUCUCAAAAUAAAUUUGAUUAGAAUGUAUAUUAAAAUAAUGAUCAUAUAUAUAUAUAUUUAAUUUUUUGAUAUAUUAUGAUAAAAUAUAUUAUCUAUACUUUUUAGCGAAUAAAUUAAAAAAAAUAUUAGCUAGUUCAUUAAUAUGGAUAAUAUUAUACUCGUAAAAAAUUUAAUUUUUCAUUUAUUCAACUAAAAGUUAUUAAAAAAUUUAAAUUUAAAAAUAGUAAUUUUAUUUUUUAUUUUUUAAAAACACUACAAAUAAUUUCUAAAUUAUUAAUGAAUUUUUCAGUUGGUAAUCAAUAAAAAAUUCACUUAUCUAUAAAUUACUAAUGGAUUACAAUUUAUAAUUAAAAAGUUUAAUAGUACAUUUUUAUUAAUAGUUUUUAAGUCUAUUAAUAAUAUUAAUAGAUUUACUAAUUAAAUUUUCAUUAUUAUUACUAACAGAUUUUAAAUGUGUCAAUAUUGAGAGAAAAAUAAUUUAUUAAUAAAUGUAAAAUUCGUUAAUAAAUUAUCAAUGCAUUACAAUCCGUUAAUAAAUUUAUUAAGAGUUUAAAUAAUUUUUUAUUAAUUUAAUAAGACUGAAAAUUAUAUUAUUAUUAUUAAGUUUUAAAUUUGUAUUUAAUAUAUAGAAAGUGAAAAUAAGAAAAAAAUAAAUGGUAUAUAAUGAUAGAAAAUAAUAAAAAAAAGAGAAAAUGAAAGGAAAUUAUGAAGAAUAAAGAAUGAAUAAAAUAAUAUAGGAGGAGAGAAAAUAGAAUAAGAGAUGAAAGAAAAAUAAAAAAAUUUCAAUAAAAAAGUGAAAUAUAGAAGAAAGUAAUAAAAAAAGAGAAAGGAAGGAAAAUGAUAAGAUGAAUGAAUUAUAAAAGUAGAAGUCUCGGUUUAAUAUUUAUAAACAUAAAUUAUUAAUAAAUUUAUAAUUUGUUAUUAAAUUUAGGAAAAAAGCAGUUUUUAUCUGUUUAAAAAAUUAUUAAUGGAUUUAAAAUAUGUUAUUAAAUUCAUUAAUAAUAAAAAAUGUGAAUUGCAAAAUCAAAGGCGACAUUUUAUGUAAAAUUUUAUUUUAAAUUUAUCAAUAAAUUUUUUAGUAAAUAGUUUUCAUUGAUAAAUUUAAUGUUUUUUUUACUUAUUAAUUUAAAAAUAAAGUUUAAUAAUGAAUUUUUAAAUUCAUUAAUAAUUUUUUGUGCCAAUUACCAACGGAUUGAAAGGAAGGAUUAUGAGAUUCGAGAGAUGAAAUGGAAAAGAAAAUGAGAGUUUAAAGAAGGAUAUUUAUGAAAUUUAAAAUAUUUUUCUUUUCUGUUUUUACAGAUUUUAGUGCAGAAUAAAAUUAUAAUAAUUAAAGUGUUUGAUUCUAAAAAUAGAAAAAUUGAUCCGUUAAUUAUACUAAAAUUUAAAAAUUAAAAUAUAAUAUAUAAUUUAAAAAAUUAUAGAUUUGGAUCACAUUAUAUUCAAGAUCAUUAUAAAUAGCCGCCGCUCUUUGUUGAGUCGGCAAAGGGUUUGAUUUCCACUAAAAUCUCCCUUCCCAAUUUAUAGAUAAAAAAAAAAUCAUUAUAAAUAAAAUAAUAAAAAUUUGUUAAAUUUGUUAUUUUUUAUAAGAUUAUGCAAUAUUUUAUUUUUUUAAAAAAUGAAAAUUUGUUAAAUUUGAAAUAAUUUAAUUCUUUUAUUUCAAAAAAAAAAUAUUUAACUUAAUUUUUUGUGAAAUUUUUAAUACAAAAUAGAGAAAAACUGAAAUCAGCUAGAAGGAAUUUCAAAAAAUUAAUUUAUUAAUUAAGGAAGGAAAAUUCAUAAAAAAUUAGUUAUUUAACCGAAAUUUUUUUUCAGAGUUAUUUAAGGGAAAUAUCAGGAGGCAACUCCAAGAAAAAUCUUAACUACUUUAUAAACAUAUAAAUACAUAAAUAAAUACUUGUGCAAAAAAUAGUUAAAUAAAAUAUUUUUUUGUUAAUUAACCCUUAAAUUAAUUCUGUUCUAUUAUAAAAUUAUGUGUAAUUUUUUAUUAAUAUUAAAUUUUUUUAUUGAAAAAUAAAAUUUAUAUACACAAAUCGUAAUCACUGAAUCAAAAUUAAAAUUAUGAUAAUUUUAAUAAAAUUUUAUUGAUACUGUAUAUACAUCAACAAUUAAAUAAGCUAAGAAUUAUUGAGGAAAUUCCUACGGGACGAAAUCGUUUAUUAAUUAAGAAAGUGAAGAUUUUCAUUAAUUGUUGCGUAGAAAGCAAUAACUACAAAAUCUUUUUCAUGAAAGACUUAUGAAUUUAUUUAUUUUACAUUUAUUUUAAUUUUAACUACUAAUUUUAAUUAAUUUUGAUAAAAAAAUUUUAAUAUAUAAGUAUAAGAUUAUUAAUUUAAAAAUUUAUUGAAUAAAAAAAUUAAAAAUAUUUAUUAUUUAGUUUCUAAAUAUUAUUAUUAUUAUUAAUAAAUCAGUAUUUAUAAUUUUUAAAAAUUUAUUAAAAUUAUCUUAUUUAUUUUAUUAAUAAAAUAAUUAUUUCAUUUUUUUAUUAAAAAUAGAUGAAAAUUGUGAGAAAAAAUUUUAAAAACUUAAAUUGAAUCUUUUAGUAUAUUUUUAACAGCAGAAAUAGACAAAAUUGAAUAGAAUUAUUUUAGUGAUGGAGAAAAAAAAAACAUUUUAAUAAAUUUUUGAAAAUAUAAGGAUUAAUUUAUUAAUAAUAGUAAUAUUUAGAAAUUAAAUAAUAAAUCUCACAAAAUAUAUAUAUUUAAAUUAAUUCAUAUUUAUAUUCAAAAUUUUAAAUUUUAAAUAAUAAAUCAAAUACUUUUUUAAUUUUUCACAUUUAACUAAAAGAUUAUAUUGAAUUUAGAAAGAUUAAUGAUAAAUUAUAAUAUAAUUUUUAAAAUUUUAUAUUAUUAAUAUAUAAUUUUUUAAUUUAAAUUUUAUAUUAAAAUAAAUUAAUAUUAAAUAUAUUGUAUUAAAUAAAUAUUUAUUAUAAAUAAAUUCUCAUAUUAUAAAAUAUUAUAUAUAAAUUUUAUGUUAAAAGUAUUUUGUUGAAGGUUCGUACUCAACAUUUAAAUUAUAUGUCUUUUUAAUAUAUAAAAAAUUAUAUUUUAUAUUAAUUAAUAUUAAAUAAAAUAAAAUAUUAUGUAUAUUACUUUGUAAAAUCAUUUUUUUUAUAAUUUUUAUAAAAAUCUUUAUUUCUUAAUUAGAUUUCUUGUACUUUAUUUAAGUUAUUUUAUUCACUUAUAUAACAAGAAAUUUUUUUAUAUAUAUUAAUUUAUUAGCUUAUCGAAUAAAAAAUGUAUUUUAUAUCAAUAUCAUAAUAUAAAAUAAAAUAUUAUAUAUUUUAAUUUAUAAUUUUUUAAAUUUUAAAUUUUUAUUAAUUUAUAAUGUAUUAAUAAAAAAAACGUUUUGAUAAAAAAAGACAAUAGUAUUUUUAAAAUUAUUAUGUGGGUCAAGCAAAAUUUUAAGAAUUAUAUUAUAAUUUAUCAUUAAAUUUUUUAGAUUUUAUUUAAUUAUAAUUAUUAUAAAUAGACUUUUAUUAUUCAACUUUUAGAAUUUUAAAUAUAAAUAUGAAUUAAUAUAAAUAUUUUAAAAAAUUUUAUCCAAUAGGCCGAGAGAUAGUAAAUAAAUUAACGAGCUAAAGGGUUUAGUAAUAACGGAAGACAUGGAAGAUAUUUAUUAAUUCUAUUUAUAGUUGAAUACCUUCUCUAAAAUAGAACAAUGGUAAAAUCCUAAAUGAAACGAUAAUUUAUUAAAAUUUAAAUAUAUAAAUAAAAUAUAAAAAAAAUUAAUUUUUAAAAAAAUUCACUGAUUAAUUUUUCAAUUUUAAAAAAAUAUAUUAAUAUAUUUUUCAUAUUAAUCAGUCACUUUUAUCAGUUUUAGCUAUUAAAUAUUAUAAAAAAAUAUAAUAUAUUUAAAAUAUAAAAAACUAAUUAAUAAAUUUUUUUAAAAAUUUAAAAAAUUAAUUAAUAAGUUUUUUGAAAUUAUAAGAACUAAUUAGUCUCUCUAUUUACUAAAUUUUUUAAAAUGUUUAAAAUAUUUUAAUGUAUUUUUUAAAAUUAAAAUUAAAAUAUUUUUUAAAAUGUCUAGAACUUUAUUUAAUUUUAUUUUAUUUUUAAUAAAUCUCUCUAAAUAUCUUUUAAUAUUUAAAAAAUUUUAUUGUAUUUAAAAAGAUAUAAUUAAAAAAUUAAUAAAAAAUUAUAUUUUUUAAUAUUUAUAAAAAAUUAAAAUGAAAAAAUUAUAAGAAAUUAUUUUAACAUGAAAUACAACUUAUUUUGAUAUUUAAAAAAUUAGUAUCUUCAAUGGACUCAAAAUCCAAGAACUUGCAACAAAUUUUGAACGGCCAAAUGAAAAAACUUUUCAAGUUUUGCCUAGACAAAGUGAAGUGGGGACAACAGCAAUCUUCAAGACAUUUCCUAUGAUUUUUAGGUAGUAUCGCAAAAAUUCCUGGCCAGGUUGUCACAAAGCACCAGCCUCCGCUUUGUGAUUUAGUAUAUAUAUAUCAUUUUGAACACAUUCGACACUAUUUUAAUAAAGAUUUUACUGUAUUUUCAUCAUAAGAUUUCACAAAUAGAAGAAAGUAAUCCGAUGAAUCUCUGUCAAGGAAUUUCUCUGACCAGGAUUAUCUAGCGCUCAAACUAGAUAUGGAAUGCAUUAAUCAUGUUUUGGAUAUUUUUUGAUUUAUUUUAUUGUGAUUUAUUCUUUAACUUAAAUAAUUUUAUAUUUUUAAUUUCUAUAUCAUAUCAUGAUACGGUAUUAAAUAUGCUUCAUUUUAUGAUUUCUCUGAUUUUCAGGCUAUAAAAACAGAGUAACCAUUCAUGUUCAAUAACUUAAUUACCAGAUCUCCAAAGAAAGAACAAAAUGAAAAACACAGACGCAAUCCUUGUGUUCCUAGCUUCUCUUGUUUUCUUGCUUCACUCUUCUUUUCCUCUUCACUUUGCUGAAGCUCAAGGUAUGUUUAUAUAUUUUUUUUCCACUAAUAUUUUUAUUAAGUAAUUUUGAUCAUGUAUGGGUGGUUUUAGGUAAUGAAACUCCAUACACUUACAUAGAAGCAACAGGUAGAGGACCAUCAAGACGGGGCCAGCUUAACCCAGAGUUGCAAGCUUGUGGAAAUGGAAGAAUGCAGUCUCCUAUAGAUAUUCGUCUCCAAGAUGUAAAACUUGCACCUGCGCUAGGAGAUCUGCCAUUACAAUAUCAACCAGCUGCUGCCUCUAUCAAGAGCCUUGGACGUGUUAUUCAGGUCAUUAAAAGCAUUAGUAAUGGAUUUUUUAUGGAUCAUAACAGAAAAAUCUUAUACUGAUUCUUGCAUAUUAAUUAAUUAAUAGAAAAAUUAUUAUUUAGGUCAGUCUCUCAAUUUUAAAAAUUUCAAAAAUAUUUAAUAAUUAAAAUUAACAUAUAGAUUAAAAAUAAUGAACAAAUUAAUGAAUUUUUUAAUAAUGUAAGGAUUAAAUAGUAAAUUUUUUAAUUAAUUAAUUAUAUUAAUCUCAGUAAUUAAGUGUUAGAGGUUUAACUUUAAUUACUGGUUAAUCAGGUUUCUUGGAAAGGGAAUGCUGGGAAUAUCAUUGUUAAUGGAGAUCGUUACGAUCUGAAACAAUGCCAUUGGCAUAUACCUACGGAGCAUGCAAUUGAAGGUAUAAGGUGAGCCAAUCAAUGCUGUGGUGUACAAAAAAAUUUUCUUGAUUUUCUUGAUCAUGUGUUAAUCAAUUUCCUUUGUUUAAAAGGUACGAUUUGGAGCUUCAUAUAGUCCAUCAAAACUCAGAUGGAGCAUUUGCUGUUGUUGCAAUUCUUUUCAAAUUAGGGCGACCUGAUCAAUUCCUUUCAAGGGUAUUUAUAUAACUCUUUAUGCAUUCAUGCAUUUGUUUUUCUUUUCUUUUCUUUUCUUUUCUUUUCUCAUUCCUUCUAUGGCAGCUCUUGCCCUUCAUAAAAUCAGUUACAAAAGAAGAGAAGGAUUUGGGGAUUAUUAACCCAAGAGACAUUGGAUUUUGGAGCAGAAACUAUUUCAGAUACAAUGGCUCUCUAACCGCUCCUCCCUGCUCCGAAGGAGUUGUUUGGACAAUUUUUCAGGAGGUAUUGAUUUUUCAUUUAAUUAAAAAAAUAAUUUUUAUUUAUUAAUUUUUUUGAAGGGUUUCAAAUAUUAAAAAAUAUAAAACUUAUUAUUUUAUACUUAAUAACGAUUAUAUAUGUGCAUCCGUUUAAUAAAUUAAUUACCAUUUUUAUUUUACACAGGUGAUUAUGGUUUCAGAGGAGCAAGUGAAUGCAUUGAGGGAUGCUGUUGAUAAUGUAAGUAUAUUAUUAUUAUUGAAAAAUUUUUAUUAUACAUUUAUUCAAUUUAAAAUUAUUAAUAUAUUAUUAAAAUCAUAAUAUAUCUUAUUUUGAAAAGUAAAAUUUAAUUAUAAAUAUGGCAUUUUAAUUUUCAAAUGAUUAUUAAGCAUUUCAAAAUUUGAUCAGAAGUUAAAAAAUGUAAAUUUAAUAUGCAUUAAUUUUAUUUAUUUAUUUUUGUAUAAAUUAAGGUUUUCAGUAAAGUCAGAAAUCUUAUGAUCUAAAAUAAUUUUAAUAUCAAGUUCACAAUAAUUUUAUUACUUACACUUUAAUGCAAUAUCUCCUUACUUAACAGUAAAAUUUUUAUUACUAAAAAUAUAACAUUUAUUACUAUAAAUUUAUAUUAGUAAUAUAUAAUUAUCGCAUAUUACUGCUAUAAAAUUAUAAUCAUGUAUAAAUAUUUUAUAAUGAAAUUAUAGUUGCAGUUAAAAAUUUAAUUAUUAUUAUUAAUAAUAAAUAUUUUAUAAAAAUUAUUUUAUUAAUAUCCAUAAUUUUUAUUUUUAUUAUUUAUAUUAUUAUUAAUUUUUAUAGCAGUAAUGGUAAUAUUUAUUAUAAUAGCAUAUGUUUUACCUAUUUUCUAGUUAAUUAAUGGGUUGGAUUUUGUUCAUUUUCAGGAAUUUAAGAUGAAUGCAAGGCCUAUCCAAGCAUUGAAUGGAAGAUCAGUCUUUUUGUAUCAAGCUAUAUAGAUCGCUAUUCAUUUAUUAAGGAAAAUUUUUAUACAGAUUCUGACAUUCGAUUAAUAAAAAUUAAUUUUUUUAUUAAUAUAUAAUCUUAUCCUAUUUUAAAUAAUAUUUUUUUAAUUUUAAAUUACUUAUAGAAUUAUAUUAAACGGUUGAACAUAGCCGUAUGCUCGGUAAUUUCCUCGUUAAUUAGCCAUGCACCGAUGAACAGUAUUCAGUUCAAAUUGAAAAAAUUGAUCAAACCGAAUUGAUUUAAAAAUUUAGUUCGAUUUUUUAUAUAUUUCGAUUUAGUUCGAUUUUUAAUUUUAAAAAUUUCAGUUAUUUCGAUUCGGUUCGGUUUUGAUAAAAAAAAAAUCGAACUGAACCCAUUAAUAAUAAUAAUAUAUUUUUUCAAUAAUAUAGAGAAAUUAAAUCAGAUUAAAAUUUUUUAAUUAAAUUUUAAAAUAUUAAAAAUAAAGUGUAAAAAAUAAAAAAAUUAAUAAAAAUUAAAACCGAUCAAACCGAACCGAAUCAAACCGAAUCAGACCGGUUCGGUUCGAUUCAAUUUUUAACUAAAAUUAGUUCGGUUUGAUUUUUAUAAACACUAAAAUUUCGGCUCUCAAUUUAUUCGGUUCGGUUCGAUUUUAAACUGAAUCAACUGAAUGCUCACUCGUACAUGCAGCAAUGGUUGGAGUUGUAUUUUUAAUUUUUAUAAAUUAAUAAAAUUAAAUAAAAAUAAUUUUAUUAUUUUACAAAAAUCAAAACAGAUAAACAUUCAAUCAGUUAAAAUUUCAGUAUUUACACUUGAAUAUGAAAUUUUUACGUUUACUAAGUUAUGAACUCAUUAUAAAAUUUUAUAUUUUAAAUUUAAUUAUAAUAUAUAUUAUAAUUUUAAUUCAAUAUAUUUUUAUAUAAAAAUUAUUUUUGAAAUAUUAAUUUGGAUGGUCAACCGUUGCUUCAUACUCAUCCGUUUCUGGCUUUCCGAUAUCCCCUCCAUUUGGAGCCGAAGAAUUUGCUCUUGUACUUUAAUUGUUAGAAAAUUUGAUUAUUUAUAAAUUUUAAAUUUAAUUAAAUUCUUUUACAAUUCAUUCUAAAUUCAAGAGAUUACCCAUUUUAGCUUUUUUUUUUUUAAAUUAAUAUCCAAUAAUUAAUGAAUUCCUUAAAAAAAUUCAGUCAAUCAGAAUUUCACGUUUCAAUUUUAGCCAAAUCAAACCCUAUAAAAACACUAAAGUUGUUGAUAUUCAAUUCCAUCACUAUCACUUUUCAUUUUGUUUUCUCUCCCUCUUUUUUCUCGUCAAAAAAACAACAGAAAAAACAAAAUUUCAUUUCUGUUUUUUCUCUCUUUUUUUUUCCGUCAAAAAAACAAGAGAGAAAACAAAAUGAAAAACACAAAAAUAACUUUCUUAUUCUUAGCUUCUUUUAUUUUUUUUCUUCUUUCUUCUGAAACGCAAAGUACGUAGAAUGUGUUUAUAUAUAUAAAAAUAUAAUUUAAUUAGAAUAAAAAAAAGUAUAUUAAAGCGAUUAAACAAUUUAAUUUUUUUAAUUAAAUAAUUUUAAAAUAAUGAUAGAUUUAUUUUUUCACUAAUAUUAUUAUUAUUAAAAAAUACUUAUUUAAAUCAAAUUCAUGCGAAUGCUACAGCUACUGGCAAUACGACGCUGUUUACUUAUACAGAAGGUGAGAGAGGACCAUCAAAGUGGGGACAGCUGAGCCCUAGUUGGACAGCUUGUAGAACUGCAGCAAAGGCUCAGUCUCCUGUUGAUCUUGUUCAUAAAGCUGCAACUUUACAACCUGCCCUUGGAGAUCUCAAAUUACAGUAUCGACCAGCUGCUGCCUCUAUCAAGAGCAGCGGAAAUUUUAUCGAGGUCUUUUUUUCUUAUUAAUUAAUUAUAAUUCUUAAAUAAAUUAUUAUUUUUUUUUAAAUUUAAAAAAUUUAACUUAAAAAAGGUUGAUUAGGUGAUAUGGAAAGGGAACGCUGGGAAAAUUGUUGUUGAUGGAAAUCAAUACAAGCUGAAAAAAAUCCAUUGGCAUACACCAGCGGAGCAUGCAAUCGAUGGAAAAAGGUGAGCCCAAUUGUCUGUUUUUGGUUUAAUAUUUGGGUUAAUGCAUAAUUAUGGUCUGAUUAUUUUCUUAAUUUAUUUAAUAGGGUCGAUUUGGAGCUUCAUUUAGUCCAUCAAAACUCUGCUGGAGGAAUGGCUGUUAUCGGAAUUCUUUUCAAAUUAGGGGAUGCUGACCCAUUCCUCACACAGGUAUUUAACUGUUUAUAUAAUAAUAGUAUUUUUCUUAUACUUCGUUUUUUUUAUUUAAAUUCUCAAACUUUUUAAUAUUUAGUACACUCUAAAAAAUCAUUCAAUAUAGAAUAUUUAUUCAGUAAUAAAAUAAAUAAUUUUUUAAAGAAAAUUACUCUAUUUUUUCAAAAUAAAAAAAUUGCAUUUUGAGAAUUUUAUUAAUAUUCCUAUAUAUAAAUUUAUUCAUAUUUGAUGAGUGAGAUUCGGCGGGGUGUCUAGAUGCGGACACCAUCAUUAAUCUGUAAUUAGUUUCAUAAGGUCCAUGCAUACUUGAGCUUGAGGAAGGAGACCUGCAAAAUAUGAGAAGAUGGUCAGAGGUCCGCCAGGUGCUUGGUAAAGAUCCUCCGUUGCUCAAGUCAGAUUUGUGCUCUUUUAAUUGUGUUUGAGAGAAAUAAAACAGAGAGGGAAGAGAAGAAGAGAAGAGAAAGCUCCCGAGAGAGAGCGAUGAUGGAUUUUUGGGUUUCUCUCCGACACAGAGAAGGCUUUUCCUUUCGAGAAGAUGAUAUCCCUUUUUUAGGAUUAGUUCAGUGGUACAUAUACCUCCGAUCGGUCUGACGCCCCUGGUGACGUGUUCCCAUCAUGUUGGACAUGGAUGCUUUUUGACAGGCAUGUUAGGCAGCAUAUUAAUGAUGGGCGAUAGGACAAUAAAUACAAAGCUGACUAGUUCGUAUCUUUUAUAUGCACAUUUAUGAUCCCGGUGCCAUACGAAGGAGACGAACAACACGUAUGAGGUCAGCAUCCUUAUCCUGCCUUCAUCGCAUCGUGCCUGGUUCAUUUGACCUAUAUAGAGGCGAAUUCCUUCUGGUUACUGAGGUUCGCCACAUCUGCAUUCAAAGCUUUGUUGUAGUGAGCUUUGAAGAGGUCUACUUGUCUUCUUCAGAUUUUGAAGAGGUCGGUCUGUCUGUCUGUUCCGAGUUUUAGUAAACUCAGGGGUGUAAGAGAUCUGAUUCUUUGUGCUUAAUAGAUCGGGGCUUCCUAUUGCCCAAUUCAACUAGAAAGAAAGGUUUGCAUGCCCCUUCUGAAUCACAUGUACACGUGUCAUGAACUUAUGGAUCCUAUUUUUUAUAUGUUAUCAAUUGCCCUUUUGUUUCUCUAAUGGUUAUUUAUGACCGCUGGAGAAGGAAACCCGACCUGCUAAUUCGGCGUCGCCUAUUCAUUUAGUAAAUGCUUAUAAAUUUCAAAAGGAAUUGAAUUGGUCGACUUUAGCAUAGAUCGAACUAAGCAAGCGAAUUUUAUAUCUUGAUAAUCUUCCUUUUGGGAGAUCUGAUCUUGGUGGUCUUCUUUAUGGAAAGUAUGACCGUGGUAGUUUUCCUUUUGGAAAGUUUGACUUGGAUGCUCUGCGCUUCUACCUUGCCUUUCCAACUUGGAAAGUCUGCCCUUUCAGGUCUUCUUUAUAGGAGGUUUGACCUUGACGGUUGUCCUUUUCGACCUUAUCCUUUUGACUUGACCUUAUUGAUAUGUCCUUUUAAGUCUUCUUCCGAGCGUUUUUCUUUGAGGUAUCUUUCAGGCUGUAAGCCCUAGGUCUUUUAAUACGCGCUUCAGCUGAUUGGUUUUAUGAGCAAUUUAGCUCUUUACGGGGCUUUAUAGCCCUGACUAUUUUUAUGAGCAUUUUAGCUCCUUACCAGACUCUUUAGCCCUGAAUGUUCAUCUGAACUCUUUGGUUUUCUAUACCAUUUCAGACUCUUUAGCCCUGAAUAUUUUUGCGAGCGUUUUAGCUCUUUUCCGGACUCUAUAGCCUUGGUUCUUUGUCCGAGCUCUUAGGCUCCUUGUGAUCUUCCUCUAGCUCUUAGUCUUGAUUUUUGGUCUGAGCACUUUUGCUCUUUGUUUUCUUUGGGCUCUUUUAGCCCUGGACCUUAGUUCUAGCAUUUUUUCUUUUGAACGUCUUCCGGAAUUUUUGCCCUUCAGCAUCUUUUGGGCUUUAGCCUUGAAUAUUUUUGUUAGCGUUUUAGCUCUUUUCCGAACUCUUUAGCCCUGAUUCUUUGUCUGAACUCUUAGGCUCCUUGUGAUCUUCCUCUGGGAUCUUAGCCCUGAUUUUUUGUCUGAGCACUUUUGCUCUUUGUUUUCUUCCGGGCUCUUUUAGCCCUGGACCUUAGUUCGAGCAUUUUUUCUCUUGAACGUCUUCCAGGUUUUUUUCCCUUCAGCAUCUUAUGGGCCUUUAGCCUUGAUUUUUCUUCCAUGCCCUUACCCUUCUCUGAGGGUUAUUUAUGAGCCGUUGGAGAAGGAAAUCCACUUCCAAGCGUUUUCGCUCUCCCGCGCUAUUUUUGCCUUUACUUCCGGACAUUUCGCUCUUGUGUUUCUUUUGAGCACCUAGCCUUGGAUCCGCUGCGCACUUUUGCCCUUUGUCGUUUUUUGGACUCUUAAUCCUGAGACUUAGUCCGAGCAUUUUGCUCUUUAAAUCUCUUUUGGGCACUUACCCCUAAUUCUUUAUCCAAGCACUUUGGCUCUCUGCUAUCUUUUUAACUUUUGCCCUGAACCUUUGUCCGAUCUUGUUUCUUUCUGGUAAGCUUUAGGGCUCUUUAACUCUGACUCUACUUUUGAGCAUUUUUGCUCUUUAUACCUCUCAGGUUAUCUGCCCUUAAAUACUUUCCGGGCUAUCUGCCUUCAAACACUUUCCAGGCUAUCUGCCCUUAAACACUUUCUGGGCUAUCUGCCCUUAAGCCUUAUUCUAGGUUCUGCCCUGGUUAUUGUUCUGAGCAAUUUUGCUCUUGGGCGCUUUCCAGGCUUUUUGCCCUUAAACGUUAUUCGGGUUAUUUGCCCUUAUUCUGCUUUCGAGCAUUUUUGCUCUUACUAUCUUCUAGGCAUUUUUUCCCUUAAGCGCUCUCUGAACUAUUUGCUCUUAAGCAUCUUCAGGGCAUUUUUGCUCUUCCAAGUUGUUUUUCCCCUUAUUCUACUUCCGAGCUCUAUGGCUCUUUGUAUCUUCCGAGCAUUUUUACCCUCAUGCAUUUUGUGGGAUAUUUUCCCUUAAGCGUCUUCCUAACAUUUUUGCUCUUCUGGGCUAUUUUUGCCUUAAGCGCUUUCUGGGCUAUUUACCCUUAAGUCUUAUUCUAUAAUGGUCAGAUUUUUCAUUCAUUUUGUACCUCAACUUGGCUUACCUGGUACUAGGGGUCAAUUUUCAAAGGUUGGGACCUGCCGUGGUUGGAUCUUCUUUAUUUGAUUCCUUAACUUGGUUUUUUGGUAUCGGGUCUAUUUUCAAGGCCAGCACCUGCCUCAUUAGACUUCUUUGUUUCCUCAAAUCGGUUUUUUGGUACCGGAAGUCUAUUUCUGAGGCCAAUACAUGUUUCAUUGGGCUUCUUUAUUUUCUCAACUCGGCUUUUUGAUGCCGGAAGUCUAUUUUCGAGACUGACACCUGCCUCAUUAGGCUUCGUUAUUUCCUCAACUUGGUUUUUUGGUGCUAAAGGUUUAUUUCCGAGGCCGACAUGUGCCUCACUAGACUUUUUUAUUUCCUCAGCUCAGCUUUUUGGUGCCAGAAGUCUAUUUUCGAGGUCGACACCUGUCUCAUUGGGCUUCUUCUUCAUUUUGUGGCCAUAGCUCCCAAGCUUAUUAGCUUUGCUCUUACUUUUAUAAUUUGCCUACAAAAUUAAAGAUUGCAUAGAGUACAUGUAACAAGAAUGCUUGUUGUUAAUUUGAAAUAGCAAGAUAUUUAACUUUAUAUUUCAACUGAAUGAAAAAUAUUAAUUUUGUCUAACUAUAUCAUCUCAUAUAAUUCUAAAAAAUAUAAUAAAUAAUGUUUUUCGUGCAUAAAUCUCUUCACAGUUUUUAAAUCAUAAAGCAGUAUGCUUUGAACAGGUAAUAAUUUUUUCAAUAGAUUCAUACUAAUAUUAAUCACUGAUGAGGGCUUUUUUUAAGCUAUUUUAGUGUACUAUCAUAUUUCAAGUUCAUAUACACAAGGCCUUCGUCUUAGGCAUUAAAUUUUUUUACUAGUUCAUAAUAGCAAAAAUACUUUGAGAUAAAGAAAGUAACUAUACAACUUGGGUAACUCGUGCACGUCAUUUCUCUUCCAUGGUUGAUGGAUCACCCGUGUGUUGUUUUUUCUUCAUUUUUCACUGUCUAAUUUUCAUCGUGUGACUUUUAGAUGCAGUUGGGGAUUCUCGGAUCUUUCACCAUAUCUCUUUAUUUCGGUCUUUCAUAUUGUUUAGCUAUUAGCUUUUCUUAAUUUGCCAUGUGGAUCUCAAUAGGUUUUAUUCAGAAACUUCGGCAUAUAGUCUUCUUGGUUCCCAUAAGCAGUGCCACUUGAUAAAGUGAGAUCCAAUGAGGUGUCUAGAUGCGGACACCUAGCAGAGGCUUAAUUCCAUGGGUUGAUCAUCAAUCUGUAAUUGAUUUCAUAAGGUCUAUCCAUACUUAUCUUGAAGAAGGGGACCUGCAGAGUAUGAGAAGAUGAUCAGAGGUCCGCCGAGGGUGUUCGGUGAAGACCCUCCUACGGUCAAGUCAUAUUUAGGCUCUUUUAAUGAUGUUUGAGAGAAAUAAAAUAGAGAGGGAAAGAGGAGAAGAUAAGAGAAAGCUCCCGAGAGAAUAAGGAUGGAUUUUUGGGUUUCUCUUUAUGUGUGAGAGAGAGAGAGAGGGUUUUCCCCUUCGAGAAGAUGAUGUCCCCUUUUUAGGAUUAGUUGAGUGGUAUAUAUACCUCCAAUCGCUUUGACGCUCCUGGUGCCAUGUCCCCAUUAGGUUGGGCAGGGAUGCUUUUUGGCAGGUGUGUCAGGCGAUACAUUAAUGAUGGGCGACAGAAUAAUAAAUGCAGAGUUAGCUAGUUCAUACCUUUUGCACGUGUAUUUAUGAUCCUGGUACCAUAUGUAGGAGACAAUCAGCGCAUAAGAAGUCUACAUCCUUACCCUGAUUUCAUCGGGUCUGUCUGGUUCAUCCGACCUAUAUAGAGGUGAAUUCAUUUUCGAUCACUGAGGUCGGCCAUAUCUACACUCAAAGCUUUGUUGUAAUAUGAGCUUUGAAGAGUUCUGCCCAUCUUCUCCAGGCUUAAGAGGUCGAUCUCUCCAUUCCGUAAUUUGGUAAACUCAGGGGUGUUGGAGGUCUGAUUCUUUACACUCAAUAGAUCAGGGCUUUCUAUUAUCCAUUCGACCAAAUGAAAAGGUUCAUGAUGACUACUAGGCCUGGAAUACCCAGGCUAUGGUCGAGCCCAUGUUGGAAAGGUUGACUUUAUCAAGGUCCAAUACGCACCCCCUCCCCAGUACGCAGCCCAUAACUCACUUGAACGGGCCAAAUAGGACAAAGCUCAGGUCCAUGUAAAGGAGGUCUAGCCCAAUCGACUUGAUGGAUCCACGGGGCAAUAGACCCCUGCACAUCCGAGAUUGUGUCCAUAUAGAGUCGAAGGGAAUUAAAUGGUCGCGACACAAUACAUUCGUAUGUACGACCCAGCGUGACAGUGACAGGACAUACAGAUGCAGGUCGGCAAUUACGCGUUACUAGAAGACAGGAAAAAUAUAAACCAAUAAAACCAAACUUACCAAAACAUACUUUAAUUGCGUUACUAGAAGACAGGAAAAAUAUAAACCAAUAAAAUCAAACUUACCAAAACAUACCUUAAGUCUACUAUUUACUGGAUUUAACAUCAAUUCGCAUACCUCUUCUAAAUCACGUGUACAUAUGUUAUUAUCUUAAUGAAAUUUAUUUUGUAUAUGUUAUAAUAUCGAUUUUUUUAAAUUAAAUUUUAAAAAAAAUAUGUUAUUUUGUUAGAUGAUAUGUCAUAAAAUAAUUUCUUUAUAUAUAAUAUUGUUUAUGAUUAAUUGUGUGGCAGCUGUUGCCCUCCAUAAAGACAAUUACAAAAGAAGGCAAGGAUUUGGGGACAAUAAACCCCGGAGAUAGUGGAAUUGUGAGCAAGAGUAGCUAUUUCAGAUACACCGGCUCUCUCACCAAUCCUCCAUGCACUGAGGGAGUUGUUUGGACUGUUCUCGAUGAGGUUUUUAACUUUAAAAAUAUAAUUUAUUUUCCCUAUUUAUAUUAUGCAUGCCUUAUUUUUCAUUUUUAUUAUAUACCCUUUUGCCCUUUCUUUUCUUUUUUUUUUUUAUUUAUCUUUUUAAUAAAUUAAAUAGCAUUUAAUUAUCACAGGUGAAGAUGGUUUCAGCUGAGCAGCUAGAUGCCUUGAAGAAGGCAGUUGAUGCUGUAAGUCUAUAAUUAUUAUUAAUUAAUUUUAUUUAUUUUCAUAUUAAUUACUGAAUUUUCUUUUUGAAAUUCAGGAAUUUAAAAUGAAUUCAAGACCACUCCAAGCACUAAAUGGAAGGCCAGUCAAAUUUUACAAGGCUGCACAAUGAUUCAUUGCUAUGGAUUUGUCAAUCUUUCUUUGCAAUUAUAGCAGAGAACCAUAUCUUGUUGGCACUAUCUCCGGGGUUAUACUAGAAAGUUAUUUGCGUGAUGUGAUGUGAUCAAAACACAUAAACAAAAAAAUUUAUUAAAAUAUAAAUCCAUACAUAUAUCAGUUUGACAUAUUCUCGUUUUAUCCUUUUUCAGAAAAAUUAAAAAUAUAUUUAUUAAUAUAUUACCAUAAAAAAAUAUUACAUACCAUGAUAUUAAUUUUAUACUUACCCUAAUUAUGCUGGAUAGAAUUAUAUCAAUGAAAUGUUAUAAAUUACAGAAAAAAAAAAUAUUAAAACCAGGUUGACUUUUUAAUUAAAUAUGUUUGAUUAGUUUCAUAUGCGAAAUAAUAUAAACUAGUAAAUAAAAUUUUAUAUAUAUAUAUUAAAAAUUAAUAUUCUUUUUAUUUCAUAAUUUUUAUUUUUUUUAUUAUUUCAAAGGGUACAACAACUUGUUGAAAGCAAAGGGGGACGUAUCAACAUCAAUUGCAUUGCAAUUAUAGUUGUAGGCUUCUCUUCCAACACAUCAAACAUUCAAGGUUUUUUAUUAAACCACUUGAGAAUCAAACAAGUGAUUCUUUGAUCCCAAACAAAAUCAAAAAAAGAUUUGAGGAAAAGAAGAAAUUAUAACCCCCAGAGUUUGGCUAACUCAAUAAGAUAACCCAGUCCUGUCAUUCUGAUUUAUAGUUCAUCCCAUCAAGAGGUUAAAACUGAGUUCAAAUUCUCAAAAUUAUGAGAAAAAAAGAGUAUAAACCCUGCAUAAACAACAUUUUUAACGUUCAAAAUUCACUCGUUAGCUCCAUUUGCUUCGGUCUUCCUCUUCAUCCACCGGAGUAUACCACUCUGGCUGUCGCUUUGAGUUGCUCAACCGGUAGUUCAACAGCACUUCUUCAUCACAAAGUGCCCUAGUAGCUACCAAUACGAGAGCCUUCAGAACCGGAACAUCGGACCCACUCUUUUUUGCCUUAGAUCUAUACCAAAAGCUCCCAAAUCUUCUCAUAUUCAUUUCUUCUUUUGAGUUGCCAAAUAGUAUAUUUGGUAUAUAGGUUCUCAUGUCCUUCUCAGUCAAUGGGAAGUCAUAUGGGCAAAUCAUGACAUUUGGAGCCAUACCCUUUGCUGGAUGAUUGGCAAAAUGAGCCAAAGCUAAAGGGUUCCUCCGCUCCAGGACCUCACUGCUACAACUAACUUGCAUCCCUUCUACAGGCUUACUGAGCAUUUUCCAGAACAGACCUGAACCUUUUUCGCUACUUUGCACAUCAGGCCUGAUCUCUGGCACAAGUGACCCAUUCCACAAUUCACGCGCUUCACCCCCAGAACCCCAGGGCUGGGAAUCGAUUACAGUACCAUCAUACCUUGUGAUCAAGUGUGUGUUAUGGGCAUCAACUCUUGGGUAUCCAGGGAUAUGGCUAUAAUAAGCUGGGGAGUAUAUCACGCCAGGGUACAAAGCAAUCACAGUGCCAACAUCAGCUUCACCGUCUACAAAUAGGCCUUGUCCAGCUUCUUUGUGGGGUAUCUGAGAUUCUUUUAGACCAAGUGUGUACCCACUUUGAUCUUUCAACCUCCAUGAAACUUCAGCACCGUUCAAUGGCCUUGUUUCAGGUAUAGCUGUUCUGAAAAGCAUCAGUGAUCAGAAGGGUAGAAGUUCAGUCAAAGGUUAAAUAGCUUGUACUUCCAUAUCAAUAGGAAAUUUAGAUGCAGACAUCGCAGUCAAAAUGACAUUGCUCACAGCAGAAAAGAUUAAGCAAUAUAUAGUCAUCAGUUAUUUGGUGAAUAAUAUACUAUGGAAUAGGGAUUCUCUUUCUGAGAUACUAUGAAUCCUCCGGUCUGACCAUCUCAGAAUCAGACACAAAUACGGACCGGAAAGACAUAAAUCCAAAGAAAGAGGUUGUUUGGGAUGCUGAAGCCAAAUACAAAAGAACAUAGGAAGCAAAAAUAAGAGUAGGGUGAUAUGCAAUCAUCAGGAUUAUUUUAUAAAAGUGAUGCACAUCUGCUCUGCCAUAUCUCAUUUUUAUUCUAUUUUCACUGCUGACAACAUCAGGGGAAAACUUUGUACAACUAGAAUUAGGCUAGGUUUCAUAGAAUUAAAGAAAUUUGAGAUAAAGGGAGAUCUGAUUUUAGAAUAUAAACAUUAUAUAUAUGUAUAUAGGGAUUGAAAAAGGCAAAAGAAAAAUGUUAAAUAAAUCAAAGCCACACAUAUAAUAAAUAGAGCAAAGUACUACCAUGUCUCUGAAGUUUAAUUUAAUUAAUUAAUAUAUAUCUUAACUUUUAUAAUUACAUUAAAAAGUCCCUACAAUUUGCUUCCGUUAACGAGCAAGGACAUCCAUCCAAUUAAUAGCAAUUCUCCCGUUAAUUAGUGAUGAAAAUACCUUAUUAGCCUCAAUUAAAAUAAAAUAGAACAAGGAAAAAGAAUCCCUAACACACUCCUCUUCUCCUACUCUCUAAAAGAGUAAAGGAAUGAUCAGCCAUGCAAGUCCUUAAUAACAACUAGGUAAUCAUAUUUGACCGCAUUUCCAUCAAUGUUGGCCUCUAUAAUGUAUUUCUCUCUCCAACGAAAAGUGUUCUAACAAUCAUGAGGACUACUGCACUGCAAAUAUGAUCUUAUACAUAUCAUGGUUUUUUUAUCCAAAACUUCCAGUUCUACACUCUCAUACAAACUCCUUCACAGUUGACAGUACUAGAUGUCUGUUUAGGACAUGCGAGUGCAUUUCUCGCUCACAAUAGUUCUACUUUGAAAGCUUCUGCUCAUCAUCCAAUUUUAUUUAAUUUAUUUGAUAUCAUUUAGCUCUGGACUUGGUGUGUUCGGUAUGCAAAUCUGAUGAGAAAAAAAAUUUUAAUAUUAUCUUAAAUAGUUAAAUUUAUUUAUUAGAUGUGAUUUGUUUAAUUAUCCAAACAACAUAUCCCGCAUCAUCAAGAUGGCCCUAUAAAAUAAUCAUAGAAGAAAGCACGCCUAAGAUGGACAGUAACAAACCUAAACUUUCUUUUCAUGAAUUAAUGAUUCCUUUUGUUUACUAGUAUGCAGCCAUGUAAACAGGCAAUAGGCUCUUUUUGUAAAACUUCAGAAAUGUUGCUCGAUGAGCCUAGAAUUGUUAUCAAGUUGAUAUUUCUUAUGAGUAACUUCUUCACCUAGUCAUUGCUCUUUCUAUUUUUUUUUCUUUUUUUUUCCAUUUUAUAUCUCCACCUCUAGUCUGUUAGGUUUACCAAACUUUGAUUUUUGCCAUCCUUUUUACAGGUAAAAUAAUUUACAUGUUUUUCUUUCGAUGGGCUUUGCCACUUUACAUUUUCAUGUUCCAAGUAACUUUAUUAGAUCCCUAUUUAAUGACCUGCUCAUUUGAAAUGUAUCUGUUGAAAUCUAAAUAAAAUAAUAUAGUUCAUCCUCUUUGUUGAUGUUAUGAACUAGAGAGCCCAUUUACCUUUCAGUGUGAUCAAUUUGAAGUGCAAAAACAACAAAGUGGCAUCUAUAGAAAAUGGGUGCAUGGAUCACCAAAAUUCUGUAAGGAGCCAUUUGAAUUGGUGUGAAUUUAACGCAAUUGGUCACUAAAGGACAAAAUCUCAUACCAUUUAAUGCAAUUGGUGUGAAUUUAAUGCAAUUGAGGUGCCAUUCAUGGGGUCUUAUAUAUGUGUUAAAUUGUCUAUAAGCAACAGUUGCUCCCUCCUAGUUGAAGUUGACAUAGUUAACAUGGAGAGAAAGUUUGCAUGAUAUUUUGAGAGAUAGAGCUACUGACUUGUGGAAGGACAAUGGAGUUCUCUCCUCAUUUACUUGUAAUUUUGGAGGGUAUUUUGCGUAAUAUAAAUGUUUGACCAAGUUAUAUUUAAGGGACUAAGGAUGCAAUUGCUAUUAAUUAGAUUAAUUAGAUGGAUGUCCUUGCUUAUUAACUGAAUCAAAUUAUAGGGACUUUUUAAUGUAAUUAUAAAAGUCAAGGGAUAUUUUAAUUAAUUAAGUUAAACUUCAAGGAUAUGGUAGUAAUUUGCUCUAAAUAAACUAACCAAUAUAUAAAAAUAACAAAACCAUAUCUUGUUAGUAUAUUAAUCAAAUACAGAGUAUAGACUAUAGUACUCAAUAAUAUAUACUCGAAAAAAAAAAGCAUUUUUUUCACCAGAAUAUUUUUCUAAGAAUGCAACAAGAUAAACAAAAUAAAAAUAAACGAAGAAGAAAGAUGGGCAAGGCAGGGGAAAAAGUAUUAUUAGAUAUCAAAAUGAAAACAUACAUGAUCCAUCAAAAUGUCAAUAAUCAUGCAUGUCAAACACAAUAGUAGGACAAGUAAUAUUGGUUAUAUAUAUUGAACAUCCAAAAGUGUGCCAGAUACAACUUUAUUAAUCAACAAACUUGGGAAGUCCUUUAAAAUAAUAUUUUUGUUAAAAUUUAAAAGCUUCCAGUAAACUAGAACUAACUAGUAAAUAAGAUCAUGUAUGCAAACUCACCUGGAGACACAGUACGACUACUCUUUCCAACAGCCAAACUGAGGCCACUUUGACACGGAGCUGUAUCUGACUGUCCCAACGGUUCACCUGGCUCAUUUCUCUUAUUUGUAUCAGGAUUAAGAAUUUCAUCCAUAGCUGUGCAGAAAUUUCCAAUUUGAUAGUGGAUGUUUUCUUGGACUUGCUUCUGCUGAUCAGCAACAGAAGCUUUACUAGCCAUUUCAAUGAUCUCUUCUGCAUCUGCCUCUUCAGCAUUCCUCCCCAGACGAUUGUAGCUAAAGAAUUUACAAUUUCAAAAAAACAAGUCAAGUUACUUUGAAACGUUCAAGUGACAAAGUUGGCAUCCAGUUAUCACCAAAAACACAUGAUAUAUGGAGGGAACUUACAAGACUAUAAAGAAAUAAAUGUAGUACAAUAAUAAAAUCUUUGAUGUCAUCUUGUUUCUAAAAAGAAAUAAAAUAGUAACAUGAAAUUUCAGUGCAACAUCAGUAUAAGAUUAAGUAGCCUUUCCAAUAUUUUAAAACUGGUGCUAAUAUAUGUUAGUAUCAUGUGAUGUUACUCAUAGUUAUUUGGAAGACAGUACUCUAUGUUGCAGUAUGGGUAUGUGAUACACAGCAUGCCCCGUAAUGUGUAUAUACUAUAUGGUAAAAAGGAGUAGACUUGCUAUGCAAUUUGAUUCAAUAUACUUGGUACACAAAUAUAUUUAUGGGGUAUAAUUAACUUUUGAUUUAAUUUGAUUUAGCAUAAUAAGUUAAAGAACAAUUAAACUUUAUUUAAUAUGAUAAGAAUAUUUGAAUAUUUGAUAUGGAAUGGAUUCAAAUAAAAUCAAAUGGCAAAAAGGUAGCCAUAUAACUGAACCUAACUAAUUUGGGAUUACAGCUUAGUUGUUAUUAAUAAUUUAUAUUAAGAAUUAAGAUACACAUUAUUCAAAAUUUGCGAUAUUAUUAUUAUCAUAUUUUAAAUAAUUAAAAAUAUAAUUAAUUAUAAUUUCUUAAAAACUCACUUAUUCGGCAGUAAAUAAUCAAGAGGUUUUGUGUCCCAUAACUUUUUGGGAUGCAAACAUCAUGGUAUCCACAGGGUGAGUCAGUGAGAGAGUUGAUAACCAUGGUAUUACAACUUGACUGAAAACUGGGGGAGAAAAAACAAGAGAAUUUGAAGCAACAACAUGUACAUUUAUUAGGGGUUUCCAUAAUCUUGAGACGACUAUGACUUUUGACAAUGCUCAAGUUUCUCACAUCACUGACCAUGGUCCUCCCUUUCUCAAAAAUACCAAUAUGUCUGUAAAUGUACAUUUCAAUGAGGUAUACUUGUAGUUAUUUUGCAGGAGGUUCAAAUUCAGAAGAAGUUGACUGUUGUAUGAAAGGAUAAGCUCUACAAAAUUAUACAAAAAUUUACUAUGAGGUAGAAAAUAUGUAGGUCUGAUCAAGCUAUCUGAUUCAUGGAACCGUUUUGGUAUAAUAACAGAAAUUGCCAUAUGAAUAAUUGGACAAUGACAAACCAUAUAAAGAAGUUAUCCAGCAUUGCACCAUUUAGCAUUAGAGAACCCAUGAAUACAUACAUCAUAAUGUAGCAGCUGAAUAAAAAAUAAAUAAUGAAGUAUAUUCCAAAAAAUUGCACAUCUGAGACAUCAAUAUAGGUUUUUACUAUUUAGAAAAUUGAUAAAAUCAUCAAAAUAAUAAAAGCAAGAGAGAACUAUAGGAGCUAGAUGAUCCAAAAAGAAAAUAUGCAAACCUUUAGCUGCAUUUCCAAUUUUACUGAAGCUUCUAAUUUCCUUUUUUCUAUUUGAUCCUCAAUCUUUGAUAUUAGUUUCAUAUUUAGCAAUUGGAUUAUUUAUGCAGAAAAUUGCUCAAGUUAAUCAUGUGUUUGCAUCUAUCAAAUAACUUGAUCGCCAAAAAUUGAAAUGUUAUAUAUAAUACGAUCUGGAUAAUGAGCCACUCAUGACAUACAAACAAUAACAUCUAGCAAAUGCAAAUGAAAGUGAAUAAAAAGCAAGAGAAAUUAGUAUAGGAGCCAAAUGACCAAAAAAGUCCAAAUUUUUACCUGCAUUUCCAAUUUUAGCCAAAGCUUCUAGUUUCUUUUUUCAAUUUGAUCCUCAAACUUUGACACUAGUGUCGUUUUUAGCAACUGGUUUAUUUAUGCAUAAAAUUGCUUAAGUCAUGUCUUGUCUAUGCAUAUAGUUUGGACGAGAUUUUAUGUCAUGUCUUUACUAAUUCCAGCAGAUUUUACCAACUAAGCUAGCCAAAAAUUCCAAAGCCCACAACCACAUGUUUUUUUUACUAUAAAACAUGGUAGGUUAUGAUAAAAAUGUGUUAUAUUUAACUUAGUUAGAAACUGCUAAUAUUCAUUCUGUUCUGAUAAAACUAUAAUCUACCAACCAAAUAAAAACAAUUAGAUUUUUAUCAUUACAGGAAUAUGUUCCUAUCUUGGCGACAUUCAAUACUUAUUUAGGAACUAUUUCUUCAAUAAAUCAUGGAUGAUUUACCUGAAACUAAACCAAGAGAUUUCAAGUUUAGUACAAUAUUUGGUUGCAAUGUAGAAGCUAAUAUUGUCAAGAGAAACAUCAAUAUUAAAUGAGCAAUGUGGAAAGUCUGCAUCCAAAUGUGUAAUGAAGAUAAAUUACUGCAGAAAUAAGAGAUGUGAGGCCCUACUAUAAUAGAAAACAGUAAAAUAACACUCAAAGGAACACAUCUUAAAUGUGACUGGACUAGUCAAACUGGUGCGUUGGUUACUUGCUUAUUACCAGGCUCAUAACAGAAUCAAGCAUAAAAAGGACAAAUAAAAACGGUCAAUGGUUCGAAAAAUCACAUAUGUGAAUUCUUAAUCAAUUAAAAGGUCUCUAAUAUAAAUCUCAAAGCCAAGCUAGAACAAAUGGUAAAAUAAUAUGAAUGAAAUUCCCUUUGUCCACAUGAAUUCUACAUUCAAACGUGGCAAAUUAUAACCAGUGAUCAUUUCAACAGCAAAUGUACAGUUACCUGGUAUAUAGGAAAAGGCGAUUUAUGUCCACUUCAAACUGUAGCUGCCUUGGAUCUCUGGCAAAAGUAGGACUUCUUGCAAGAACCUUCACAGCCUAGAAUUAUAAAUGAGAAACCACAGCUAGUCAUCAAGAAGUGGAAGUGCCAAAGCAAGGCUCAAUAUCAAAUUAGCUCGCCAACUCUUUUAGCUAUUGGAUUAAAUAAUGUGGAAUCCUUAGACAUGUGAUUGAACAACUUUAAAAUCCUUUUGAGUUUAAUAGUUGAGAACUAGAGUUCAUACAAGCUUGGACAUUUCCGAGCCAGCUCUGAACAUGGAGAAACAUCUUUUUCUAUUGUAGAAAGAUGGAACCAUGUAACUCCUUUACAAAACAAAAUAAGAUGCUUUAAGAAUCCAGCCUCCCUCUUUUUUUCAGUGUUUUCUUUCUCAGGGCCUAUUGGCAUUUGGCAAGGUUACACAACAGACAGUAACAUUUCCACCCUUUACAGGUAUGAUUGUAAUCCAAUCCCAAAUCUCUUUUCAGACUAUUCUAAGUGACUAUGCAAAACCAACACCACAAGAAACACCAACCAGUUUAUUUCUCUCGCUAGAAGCUUGACAAGCCAGUUAAACAUUCAUCGAAUUUAGAUUCUAUCUUCUGCUUCUUCCGCUGACAUAUUCAUUAUAUCUUCCAUUUAAUUCAAUAACCCUUAUAAUCCUCACAUCCCUUAAGAUUUCCUCGUAUAUUUAGAAAAUUUUCCUUCUGUCCUAUAUCAUCCUAAGUUGAAUCAAAAUCCAGUCAUUUGCCCAAAACAAUCGAUUAUUGAUCUUAUGCAUUUAGUUACUAUGAAAUUGAACCAAACUAAACAAAAUAUAUAAAUUAUGCUAAAAGAGAGAUAGAAAGAGAGAGAUUUCUGUUCAUACCUCUUGAAACUUGUUAAACAGAAAAGCCAUUGCAAAUUUCAGCAGCUGAGAAAACCUUCUUGUCCGUGUUCACUACCAGCUCAGUGGACUUGCCAAGGAACAGAAUUUCCCCAAUUUGAAACAAAGCACUUGGAGCUUCCUUUUCGCCGAAGAUGAUGGAGGCUGCGUAGCAGUUGAACGAGGCGGAGGGGAACCGGAAUUUUGCUUCACCCUCUGUUUGGAUAGUUGUGAAGAGAAAUCGAAGUGAAAAAAAAAAAGAAACCCGAAUAUAUCGUAUCUAAAAAAAAGUCUGAAUCAUCCGGGGGCUAACAAUUUCAAAUCUGCUACCCUUAAUAUUUAAUAAAAUUUAAUAUAUUUAAAUUGAAUAUAAUUAAAAAAUUAUAUUUUUAAUAUUUAUAAAAAUUAAAAUAAAUAAAAAAUUAUGUGACAUAAAAAUUAUCAAUUAAAAUAAUUUAAAAAAUUUAUUAGCUGUGUUUUUUUUUUUUCAAUAAAAUUUAUAAGCUAUAUUAGAGGUGAACAUUCGGUCGGUUCGAUUUAAAAUCGAACCGAAUUGAAUAAACUGAAAAUCGAAAUUUUAAUGUUUAUAAAAACCAAACCGAAUCGAUUUUGAUCAGAAAUCGAAUCGAAUCGAAUCGGUCUGAUUCGGUUCGAUUCGGUUUGAUUUGAUUGAUUUUCGCUUUUUAAUAUUUUUUUUUUAUUUUUAUCCUUAUUUUUAAUAUUUUAAAAUUUAAUUAAAAUAUUUUAAUUUUAAUAUGAUUUAAUUUCUCUAUAUUAUUAAAAAAACAUAUUAUUAUUACUAAUCGGUUUGAUUUGAUUUUUUCAGUUUUUUCUGAUCAAAAUCGAACCGAACCGAAAUAACCUAAAUUUUUUAAAUUAAAAAUCAAAUCGAACUAAAAUAUAUAAAAAAAUCAAACUAAAUUUUUAAAUCAAAUCAAUUUGAUCGAUUUUUUUUAUUUGAACCGAAUACUGCUCACCCCUAACUGAUGUUAUUCUCAAUUAAUUUGAUCUUAAGCUUUUCAAUUAUAAUUCAAGAAAAAAAAUUUCUAAACCAAACUCUUGAAUUUUCACAAUUUUAGCAAUAUUAUUUGACCUUUUUGCCCAUAGAUUAUCAUGCCCCUGUUUUGAUAGUAGAGAAAUAGAAUUUCCUCUUGAAUAAAAAUUAUGAUAAUAAAGUUUUAUGCUCUUAUCAGAAAGAAAAGUUUUAGAAAAAUAAGUAUAUUUUAAUAUUAUUUUUUUUAUUUUUCUCCAUAUUUUGCUAUUUUAAACAUAAAUAUUUUGGUUAAAUGCAAAUUGAUUAUAUUUUUUAUUUUUUUUUAUUUUUUCCUUUAUAGUUUUUUUCUAAUAAAAAAAUAGAGAUUGAAAGUAAAAUUUAAAAUUUCUCAAAUUUAUUCCAUGAUCUAAAUUUGUGAAUGCAAAAAUUUUGUAAUUUUAACUUGUAUUCUAAUAUUAUUAUUUAAUUUGCCUGUGUUUAGAUUGUUCAAAAGAAAAAAUCAUUAUUGAAACGGCAUAGUCGUCAUCUUAGAUACUCAUAAUCUAAAACCUCUUGUCAGCAAGGAUUUUCAAACUUAAUAUAUUUAAUUAAUUUUCAAGCUUUAUAUAUUUUUAUUAAACUUAAUUAUUUAAUUAAUAUCUCUUAAUCACUCAAUCAAAAUAUAAUAUCAACUAAAAUUUGUAUAAUUCACCUACAGAAAUAAUAAUUAUUUUUUAAAAAGAGUAAUCAUACUUUUUAUUUUAAUAAUUUAUAUAAAGAAAUAAGUUUAAAUACACAACUCAAAUUUUCAUUGAAAUUCAAAUAAACUAAAUUUAAUAUUUUUAAUUAAAAAAUUCAUAACUUUAUGUUUAAGUUCGAACUAGUCCCAAUUGAAAAAAUAUUUUUAUUAGAAUAGAAUGUAAUUAUUGAUAAUAUUCUUAUCAGUUUUUUUUUUUUUUUCCGCGGGAUCAUUCUUUGAAUUUCUUAAACAUGCAAAAGUGAAUUUUCACCAUUAACAUAAGAAAAUGUCUUUCUACAAAUAGAAAAUAGGAUUUAAAAUUUAACUUUUCUGAGAAUGAAAAAUAAAUACUUUCUAAUAUCAUUAAAUGAUUAAGGUCAUAUAUUUUAUUAAAAUUAAUUACUUAUUUUACAUUUUUUAAUUACUCAAUUAAAAUAUAGGGUGAAUGGGUUAAUAAUGACUUUAUCCGAAAAAAACUAAAACAGUUUUUAUUAGAAUAGAAUUCAAAUAAUUGAACUUUUACACAGGUAUACAUGAUUUUCAUUUCUUUUAAAAUAUUUUUUUAAAAAAAUUAAAAAUUUACAUUCCAAUAAAAAUUAUUUACAUAAGUAAAUCAAAUAAUGGAUUAUUAUAAAAUUUUUAAUUUCAAACUGGAAUUUCACUUCAAAAAGAUAUAAUAUUUUUUUCUUUUAAAUUAUAUCUCUUUUAUUUUAAUAAGUUAUCUAUAUAAUCACUUAACAAAUAUUAAAAUUAGCAGUAAAAAGAAUUUUACGACAACAUUAAUUUUACUGUUAUAUAGACUAUCAAUAUUUAUUGUUAUUGGUAUAUAAAAAAAUAUAAUAAGAAAUAAAAAUAAUCGACAUUAAUAAAAAAUUAUUUUCGACAGCAAUAUUUAUUAUCAAUAAUAAUUAUAUUUUUAAUAACAACCAUAAUUUUAUAACAGCAACUUACAUCGCUGUAUCUAUAACAAUAAUUUAUAGCAGCAAUUACCCUCAACAUCCGCAAACCAUCCAUUAGAACUUUUAUUGAGAGGAUUUUAAACAAUAGAGCGUCAAGAUAGCUUCAUUGUUUCAUUGACUACUCCAUCUCAAAUUUCUCUAUAAUUGCCAUGGAAUUCAGACUCCUAAGCAAAUGGGUUGAAUAUCAUAAAUGAUGAGAUCUAAGGUCUCAUGGAUGUAAGACACGUGAUGUAAGGAGUAAUCUUAGAGAUGAGAGGAGAUACUAGAGUAAUAUUUCAUGCCAGACUUAAUGGUGGAUGAUGGAAGCGUAUAUGGGAUUAUAGGUUUAACUAUCUUAACAAUUGAGAAUCUGUUUUUGACAAUUCUAUAUUUUGAUAAUUAUUUUUUAAGCCAGUCUUCACUUUUCUAGGUUCCUUUCUAUUAAUUUCGAUCAUGUCAGUUGCUUGAUAAUCUCAUGACUGAUUUCAAAAAUUAUGCUACGUCCGUACAGAAUAUUUAUAGUAGGCAGUUGGCGGUUGACCAUUUAAUGUUGAGCUGGCUAAAAGAAAAUGGAAGCCAUAUAUUUAGAACUUGAUAUGACCGAUACAGUCUCUAUUAUAUUUUUUUUGCAUUUCAAAUAUGGUAAUAUUAUCACCCUGGUCUUUACUCUCCAAAAGAGAUGAACUUUGUGAUCUGAAACGAAGAUAAAUCACAACUUUCAUGCAGCUAGUCUUCGGAAUCAUAGAAGAGCCGGGUCAUGCAAAAAUUUCGGGUCCCUAUCUUCGGUUCAAGCUCACUGAAAUUGAUGGGUAUAUAACUGUGUGCUAAUUUGUUUUGCAAAAUUCAACGAGGACAACAUUCAAAGGUGGUCUAUAAGGGCUACAUUGAACUGUGCCUUAUAAUCCCAAAUUUUCAUGUAUCCAAAUACAACCUUGUUAAAAUUUUCAUUUCUACGACAUCUGACCAAGGAUACCAUAUCAAUGUGGAACUAAUAAGACUGCACACUAAAAUUCAUUAUACAACGAAAAAAGUUUUACAACAUAACCAAACGUUAGCAUAUUUAUUACUAAACCAGUGAGCGAGUGGUAAGCACUAACCAAAAACACACAAAAGAAGCCAUGAGAACUUCCAAAUUCAGAGUCCAAAACCCUUUAAAUACAUUGAACUUUCAUGCUAUGAGGAAUGGCAGAACGGUUAGCAUGAAGGCCUCAUAAGUGAAAGUUGCCGAACCGGAAUAUGUGGAGUCCUUCUCUUUGAAUUUCUCAGUCAAACCCUGAAAUUAAAGCAAGAUAAAGCAUUUUGUGAAAAAUUUAGAACUCAUCUAAUGUAUGUUUCAAGAUAACAACCCACUCAGGUUUCAAUAAUUUUUUUAUUGUUUCCCUUUCCAGGAAAUCAGAAUAUGGAUAGAAAGUUUGAUGGUAAGACAGAGGUUAGUGGAAUUUUCAUAAUCUAAUGCUUAUUCCGCCCAAGGGACAUGAGCAAAAAAAAUACUUGACAACAUAAAAAGAUUCAUUUGUAAAUCCAACAAUUUUUGUACUCCUUAGCCUGCACCAAAAGUCAUUGGACAUCUAAAAUAAAUUCAAGUUGCAUAAAAGCUGAUUGUGAAAAGUUGCACUUGCAUAUAACUGAUACAUCAAACAACUGAAAAGAUUUUGCCCAUUACAGCCACAUUUCCGCUUUCCAGGCAUCAUAGAGUAAAGAUUCACGAAAGCAAUACAGCUAAAAGUAGUAAUAAUCAUUAAAUAACUCACCUUGACAGUAAGACAGCACCUACAUAGAAAGUAAAGGAAAGAAAAGAAUUAGCUUUUGAUGCAAUAAAAAUUAAAUGCAACUACUAACAAUGUUUGAAAAACUUACUCAAUGAAAUUGUCAUAUUCAAUGGCCCUAUUUUUGCCUCCACUUUUAUCAAACUUAGAAACCAACAAAUCCAAAACGACCGGUGAUACAGCAAACCCUAAACUAUAUAAGGCCUCCUUCAGCUCAUUAGAAUCAAUCCUGCCACUCCUAUCCCUAUCAAAUCUAUCGAAAAUGGACUGCAAAAAACAUAGAUGCCACAGAAUCAGAUUUAUAUAUAAGAACAAGGUCUAUUCAAAUAGAAAAUCGAAAUUCCCACAAAAAAAAAAAAUUACCCUCCAGCUCUGAAGACUGUAGAAUACUGAGGUGAAUUCCUUUGGCCCUGUAUUAAAAAUUCCAAAAAAUUAAAGCUUUUUAAAAGAUAUUUGCUUUUUUUUAGUUUUUCACAUGCAAGAUAGAUAAUGUAUUAAAAGACUGCUAAAUGCAGCAACAGAAGAUAACCGAUAACAAUAUUUGUUUUUUCGAUUAAUCCGGCGUAAGCAAAUUAAUUGAAACGCGUGAGAGAUCAGGACAAAAGAUAUGGGCCCGUUGUUGGUGACCUAACUCAACACCCAAUCAUUAAAAAAAUUGGGUGCUUCCGCGUCUUUCACUCUCGUGUGAAACCGGUUCAAGGAAAAAUCACACCGUUGAAUCGGCAGUUUGGUUGAAUAAGAUUAUUCAGUACGGCGCAAUUUAGUUAAUACGCGAUAAGACUUUGUCAGUAUUCGUGGCGCAACUCGGAAAGGCAAAAUUUCAAGCAAUUUAAGGCAUUCUCAACGCCUGGCGCACAUCAGAAACAGCGAGCAACCUUUUGCUAAAGUGCACAUAUUCACUAAUGCUUUGUUUGGUUUGGAAGAAAUGGAGAGAAGAUAAAAGAAAGAAAAUUUUAAAUUCCUCUUGUUUGGACAUGAAUUAAGAGGAGAAAAGAAGGGAAAGGAAAGGAAAGGAAAAGGAGGAAAAAUUAUAUUUCCCAAUUUAUUAUAAAUGCCCCAAUAAAUUCCCCCCAAUUUAGUGGGAAGCGAGGGAAAUAGAUAUAAAGCACCAACAUAUUCUUCUUUUCUGUAGAGGAGGAAAUUAAUUUCUACUCUAAAUUACUUAUUAAUCCAAACAAUACAGAGAAAAUCAAAAUUCUUUUCCAUUUUCUUAAUUUCCUCUCUUUAAUUUCUCUCCAAUUCUCUUGCACAAUUAAGGAUCCAAAACAUAGAGUAAAUGCAACGAAAAUUUGAAAUGAUUUGAACAAGAAAAUAAGGGAAAUCGUAAUUACCGAUCUUCCUGCUGUUGGUGUUGGUGAAAUGAAACAGGAGAAGAUGAACGGUCCUCAAACUGAAGCUCUGAUCAUAACUAGAGAGCGCUCUCUGCAAUUCCUUGUCGUCGAUGAACCCACUGCCGUCCUGAUCAGCGAGUUGGAAGCACGCAACGACGUUGGGAUCCGUCCCUGGAGGAAAAGUGGAGGGUACUAGUGAGGCGAACGGGCUUCCAUACGGAGCUGACGGUGGGUAACCGCCGUGUGCGGGAGCAGAGGAGUGAGGUUUGUCCUUUGGUGGCUUGUCGCCCGGAGGUGGUGCAUAGGGUGCACCGUAGGGGUGAGAAGGCGGCGGCGUACCGUAAGGCUGAGAAGGCGGUGGUGCACCGUAAGGCUGAGAAGGCGGUGGUGCACCGUAAGGCUGAGAAGGCGGUGGCGCUCCGUAUGCAGGAGCGGUUCCGUAAGAUUGGGAUGUCGGUGGAGCACCGUAGCCGUAGCCUGCCGGAGGAUGAGGAUAACCGGACAUGGUGUAGCGUGAAAACUUUUUGGGUUUCGA
rnacentral:lncRNA from 1 species